UUUUUUUUUUUUUUUUUUAGGUGUGUCCCGCAGGGAGUGGACCCCGCAGACUAUUCACCACCCUCAGCAACUUGCUGGCAGCAAGGUUCGAACCAGGGACCUGAGGCUCCAUCUUCAGCAAUCUCAACCAUCAGACCAAGCCCCUGAGGGCUCUAAUUUUUGUUUAGAUCAAUGGAUUGAAAACUAAUAAAAGAUAAAAUUCUCAAUUGUAUUUGUAAAAACUUAUUUCAGGUGCUUUUCAAGGUGCAAAAUGUUAGUUUCAUCAUGGUAAACUUUUUCAGGUGACUUUUAUGACUUCUUGAAAUUGUUUAGAAUUUCUAAAUUUUAUUAUAUUUCUAGUGCAUAUUGAUGACAUGGAAACUAUUAAAAGGUUCCCCAACCUUGUUAACUUCUUAUAAUUCUUAUUUAAAAAACCAUAUCAACCAAGUUUUUAAAAAUUAGGGAAUUAGCUUGGUUUGUUAUGAAAAUAAAAGGGUUCACAAGAAAAUGGCAAGAUUGGAAUGAAAACAUACUCUUUAUCCAAAAAAAAGUUUUUAAUAAUAUAUUUAGGAAUUUUUUAACAAUGUUAUCAAAAAAGUUAAAAUAAAAAAGGUAAGUGAUAAUUUUUAAAAUUAAGAGGUGCUAAGUGAUAUGAUAAUAAAAACUCAAGGGAGGUUUCUGAAAUUAUCCGAAAUAAAAGUCACAAAACAUUUUUUUAACUAAACUACAAAACAGUUAUACCUUCAAAAUAGCCCUAUUAUUUUUGUAUGCAGGCUUGUUUUGGACCUUUUAAUGUAGAACAAUAAUGUACAUCACCGGUUUAUCACCGCCUAUGACCUAUGCAGAGUGAUGACAUGGAACAAGGUUUACUUUCCCAUUUUUAACGAAUAAUGAUAUGGCAAUAAUUAUGUAGAAUAUAUAUCAAAUUAACAAAAUUCUAUACGGUCGUUCCGAUGGGUGCCAUUCCAGUACUCAUUAACAAAUCUAAAUUUCAUUUUAACUUACCAUACAUAUACAUAUACUGAUAAUUAUUAUCGUUUUUUGCAUUUAUAUAUUUUUUCUAUUUAAUAUUGCCUAUUCUUUCUUGUAUUUAUUUAUUUUUUCUAAUUAAUUUUAUAUCUCAAAAAUAUAACACACGAAAUAUAUCUUGACGAAUGCCUUAUUGUUAGACAGACCGAUUUUAUAAUGCAUAAUUAUUCUUUUCAAGCUUACCUUAUAUAAUAUCUAUACAAAAUCAAUUAAGGUUUGAUAUUUGUAAGUUUUCAAACUAAUAACUAGAUGUCAAUUUGGAAUGUUUCUAUCUUGUCUAAUCAUUGUUGUUAGUAUACUUGAAUGAUUAGCUCUUAUGCUACUAAAUUAGUGCAAGAUGAGGAAUACUAUAGUAAAGUUCAGCAUGAGUCUUCACUCAAGUUUGUAUAGUUUGUUUUUUAUAUUAAUAAUAUUUUUAACGGUUCCGUAAAAAAAAAAAUAGUAUACUCUAGAGCUAAUCAUUGUUACUUUCUGCCAAGGACCAAACAGAACACGUACAAUUAACUAAGGACCAAAUUUACUAAUGAGCUAAUCAUUGUUAUUUUGUCACUUUUUUUACAACUUGGAAAUGAAUUACAAGACUUGUCGAGUCUACUUGAAUUAAAGAUGCUUGUGGAGUUGCUUCAAAAAAAAGAUGCUCAUGGAGUUGGUGUGAAUUCAUGGACGAAAAAGGUGGCAUUGACUGUGAAUAAACGCAAAGCUAAUUGGAGUAGUUUUUAUACUCUGGAAAUGCUUUCCAUAUGUGUAUUAGAUAACUUGAUAAAAAUUGAAAAUUACUCAAAUACAAAUUUUUCUAAAUUAAAAAAUAUAUAAAUUCAAUUUCAUAAUACAAAUUUGUUUCCUUGAACUCAUUAAAUAGGCACUUUAUUCUCCUAUUUAAUAUUUUAAGGCAAAAGAACCCUUACUAUUUGAUUUUGUUUCUUUUGUAGUCACCCUUGUUUAUCUUUUCCACUACUUUCUUUUAUAUUUUAUUUUUCCAUUUUUUUACUAUUUUCUUUUCUUUUUACUUCUUUUAUACCACUAUUUUGUUUCACUUUCCUAUUGGUAUUACUAAUUCCAUGCUUAUUAUAAUAUUGUAAUUAUCUUUUAUUCAUGAUUUCAUUCUUGUUUUAGUUAUUGACAUUAUUAGAAAACAAAUAUAUGUUUGUCUUAAUCAAAAAGUGUAUAUCAUUAGCAAUUUUAUUAUUUAAAAAUAUAUUAGCAAACUAGAACUUUAAAUUACUUAAUAUUUAAAAGUAUAUUCCAAAAAAUAAGGUAACUAAUAUUUUUAUUUAAUUUUUUAUGUGUAGUUGAUUAAUUACUAUGACAUUACAAUGUGAAUUUGUUACUGUUGUUAAAAAUUAAUUUGUUCUAAAUAUGGCUUCGUGUAUUAAGGGGAAGCAUAAUACUUUUUUUUCGUCAAAAAAUUUAGAGAGUGCAGUAGGGCACUUGUCUCAUCUACUCUAACCCCAUAGAAACCCAAUUGGACUGCCCUUGCCGCGUAAAAAAUUUUUAAAAAAAUUUGCUGAUAGUUUUCUUUCCCCCAAUUUGGCUCUCUUUCUCUUCCAUGGUUUUUUUUUUUUCAACCACUCAUCUCUAGCUUCGUACCUUGUGCCGAAGAAAAGAUUAUCGAUAUUGUUCUUGUUUUUCUAUAUAUAUAUAUAUAUAUAUAUAUAUAUAUAUAUAUAUAUAUAUAUAUAUAUGUUCAUGAGAAUGAGGCUUGUUUCGGAAAGCACAAAAAAUCUGGAUUUGUUUGGAUAGAUUAUAAUUUGCAAAGAUAUUUUGAUUUUAUCGUAAACAUUUUGUCUCAAUUAUCUUUGUUUGGAUAGAUUAUUCUUUGCAAAGAUAUUUUGAUUUUAUCGUAAGCAUUUUGUCUCAAUUAUCUUUUUAUAUUCCCAACAACUACUUCUAUAUCUUACAUACAUCAUCGUAAAAAGUGAAACAGUAUUUUUUAGUAAAUAAUUUUCCUAGAUAACCUUUUAUCCAUAAUUUUGAUAAAUAAAACAUUCUUGUUGUUUUGAACUCCUAAAUAGUGUUUUGAUAGCAAAAAUAUCUCAAAUAAAAUUUCGUUUGUAUCAUAAAUAUAUUUUUUAACCCACUUUUUUAUAUUUUCAAUCACCUUUUUAUCUCACAUACAUCACAUCACAAAAAGUGUUACAGUAAUUAUUUCAAAUAAUAUUCUAUCCUUUGUUUGGAUAAAAUAUUAUUUGAAAUAUUAUUUGGAAUAAUUACUGUAGCACUUUUUGUGACGUGAUGUAUGUGAGAUAAAAAGGUAAUUGAGAAUAUAAAAAGAUGAGUUGGAAAAUGUGUUUAUGAUGCAAGUGAAAUAUUAUUUGAGAUAUUAUUAUUGGUACACAAUUUUCCCAAAUAACCUUUUAUCCAUAAUUUUGAUAAAUAAAAUGCUCUUUUUGUUUUGAACUCCAUAAAGAACACAUGAAUAAAAAAAAAAAAAAAAAAAAAGGCCGAAACUGACAGAUCUGGAUUGUACAUAGUGCCUUGCACUAGGCUUGUGCCCACCGAACGCCGCCUCCCUUAGCCCGAUCCCCAACUCUCAGCCUAUCAUUUGGGCUUAAUUGCAAGGUGCUUAACUUUUGUUUGCCAUCUUCCUUCCCCUAUCCGACUGUCUUCUCCUCUCCUCUGUGCGUGGGUGUUGUUUCUGCCUAGUCUUUCAUUCCUUGCCUGCUAAAGAGUAGAAACAAAUCAUUCUUUGAGUGUGGGGUGUUUUCGCGUAAUUGUAGUAGUAAUAGGGCAUGCUGAAUGAAGAUGAUGGCUCUGAAACUCAAUCCUCCUACAACCCACGCGUUUUCCUCCAAGGUGAAGCCACCUUAUCAGUUUUUCCUCUUCCUAUCUCAAGUGUAGUUUUAUUUAUUUUUUAUUAUUAUUUUAACUUUCCAGCCCUUUCCACACCCUUCUUACCUCCAACUGACAAAGUCAGGAAUCGAAUCUGAACCUGGCAGUGGAGAAAACUCUAAAAGCUGUCCCAUUUUCACUGGGCUAAGUGUAGUUUUACUUAAAUUGCUUUGCUUUGUUAUUUUCUUUUUCUCUGCAUUUCCUUCUCUAAAUUCUGAAGGAUAAAAUGGGCUCUUCCAAAGUCCUAUACUUUUUUCUUUGGUGGUUUAGUGUAAUCUAUGUCAAAUUUGAGAUACAUGGCACCAUGUGCAGUAGCUUUUCCUUUUCUUUUGCCUUCUUGGUUAAUUUAUAGGAACUUGAUAAGAAAUGUAUGAUGAGAGUAAUGCCAGCUGAUUACUGCACAGACUGUAAAUGUUGGGAUAGCUUGGUGGAAUUGUUUCAAUGUAUUGUCUGUGAUUUGUGAUACUUUGUUCGAGUUCUGAUUGGUUAAUUAGGAUUUUGUUCAGCUGCUAAGAGAUCACCUUUUAGUCUUCCUUGACCAUUUUUCCCCCCGGGGGGGGGGGGACAAAAAGCUUUUGGCCCCCAUUUUGUGCAGUUCCUAUGACAAGAGAUUGCACUGAAAUCCCACAUCCCUAAAUGACAAAACUUAUGUAUGUUCUCCUUGUGUUGGAAAAGCACAGCUUUUUUAUGUUUGGCAGUAAAUAACAGUUUUAAUUGGUGAUGCUCACAUGAGUAAGAUGACAGAACUUUUGGUUUUACAUUAAUCUUUCUCCUUGCUUGUUCCAUCAUUAGUAAUGUAUUAAUUCAAAUAAAAGAAGCGGCUCUGGAACAUCUUGUUCCUAUACCUCUAGCGUAGUCCAUUUGACAUAUAAAUGUGGCUUUUGGCUAUGAUAUCCUACACGUUACAUAGGGAUUUUUAUCAUGCAGACGGAUGGAAAAUUACAUUGUAAGUGUCAAGCCAAAAGGGAUAUGUAAAUUUACCCAGCCCCAAAUGUUGUGUGCAAUGAAUAUGAGUGCUGGAGAUUCAGGAGAGUCUGCAAAGCUGAAAUUUGAUAUGUUAUUGACAAGGGUAAACAACUCUGAGAUGGUUCUCUGCAACCUGUCAAGAGUUUCCCUCAUGAUAGAGCAUUUGACGGUUUCAUUGAGCUCAUUCUUUACACUACCUUAUCAGUUAUCAAAUACUUGUCUAUGCCUGCAUUUGCAGUUUCUUUCAUUUGCAAAUUGCCCUAGUUUGCCCUUGGGAAGAAACUAUAUUUUGUUUUUCUUCCAUUUCUUGUUGGUGCUGCUGUUGCUGGAUCUUGAGAACAGUAGCACUGGAGUCAUCUCCAUCUCUUAAGGUAAUUCUUUUAGGAUCCUGCUAGGUUGCUAUUCUUGAAAAGUGUACCUGGGAUCGCCGGAGAUAAUCAUGUUUGUUACUUGUUUCUUUCUUGACAAGUCCGCUAAGUAACAAUUUGCCAAUGAAAAAAGCGCAAAUUUGUAUGGCACUUGAGGAACAAUGUAGCUUUGGCAGUUGGGGCCUUUAUAAUCACAGUAAUGUUAAAGUAUGACUACUCCCAAAUUUCAAGGGUAAAGUGUAAUUAUCCCUUUCCUUUGGUAUCGUUGGAGUAGAUGACUAUUGAUUACUUGCAGGAAAGUGUAAUAUUAUGUAGUAAUAUAUUUUUUGUGUGUGUGUGUAUAUAUAUACUUCUGAGAUAAGUUAUAUUUGCAGGAUGAUAGGAAAUGUGCAACAGUUAGAAACCUUUGCAUCAGGGCUUCAGUGGCUUCGUCAGCACCACCACAAAGUUUGCAGGUUGCAGAAAAUAAAGCUCACAACAAGUCAGACAAAUUCCGAAUAGGUGUGCUUGGAGCUAGUGGUUAUACUGGUUCUGAGGUAUGCCAAAAUUCAUCUACAACCUUUUGUGUGUGUGUGUGUGUGUGGGGGGGGGAUGGUGGUGUUAUGGGGAAAGAGUGUGGGUGGCUAUAUAUUGGGGUAAAUGGUUUCUGGGUUUAUCCUUAUGGUUUGGAUGAAAUGAUGAAUUACUAGUGGAGAUGAAGAUUGGAGGCCAUUAAUGACUUUUGGGAGAAAGGAUGUUAAUAAUGAAAUGAGGUUGGCUAGUUAUCAAUGUUUCCUACUCAAUACUCCGCUUCAUAAAUAGCUGGAUGUUGAGAAUGUGCAAUGUUCGGUUUUUCCCCUUCUUGAUGAUGUUGCUGGAUAGGACAAUGUUGCCUGCUUUUCUAUGGUUACAUAGCUUUCUAUUGGUUCUUUUGUUCAUUUUAUGGAUGUUUUGGAAGAUAAACAUGCAUUAUUGUUUUCUAAACUGGCAGAUUGUCAGACUCCUUGCAAAUCAUCCACACUUUAAAAUCACACUAAUGACUGCGGACAGGAAAGCUGGUCAACCAAUCGGAUCAGUUUUUCCUCAUUUGGUUACACAGGCAUGUAUUUUUAUGAUUUCCCAAUCUGUCUUUUCUUGUGCUCUUUUAUAGCCCGUUUAUUGUGCGUCAUAGCCUUUAAAUGACAAAUCUGAAGUAAGCAAAAUAUUAAUAAACUUUUGUAGGAUUUGCCAGAUAUGGUUGCUGUUAAAGAUGCCGACUUUUCCAGUGUUGAUGCAGUAUUUUGUUGCUUGCCGCAUGGAACCACUCAGGUCUCUACAUUCUUGUCCAUCUCAUACAAUCACACUUGACACUAUCUAUGCUUUGGAUGCAAUGUACUUAUUGGGGUUAACAUCCGAUAUCUUUUCAAAUUUUACCAAUCGAAGAAUUAAGAUGCUGCUUGAUGAGCUCCUAGGGGUGUGCUCAUGUUUGGCUGAUUACUUUUUUUGCCAGGAAAUCAUUAAAGGUCUUCCAAUCAGUUUAAAAGUUGUUGAUCUCUCUGCGGUACAUUAACUGGUGAAUUCGUAGCAGUUUUGCAGUUCUGCUAUACUUCUAGUGGUUUAUUAUUACCCAUUUCUGCAUGAUGAUUGUGCAGGACUUUAGGCUACGAGAUAUUGGUGAAUAUGAGGAAUGGUAUGGUCAGCCUCACCAGGCACCAGAGUUGCAGGUUGGAUUUUUCUUUCUUGUUAUGUCAACUUCUAAGAGAACUUCUGCACGUAAGUAUUCAAUGACAUGUAUUACUCUGUGAAGCUUGUAAGAAUCAGGAGUGCAAUAUUUUCACUGCUUUGAUUUCUUGGUCAAGUUCCAUGUAGCGUUUCCUGACACUAAGUCUAUUUCUAACAUCAUUAUAAGUGUUUAAAGUACAAGUUUAGAUGUGAAAGACUACUGUUGCCUGGAUGCAGAAAAACGCUGUAUAUGGUUUGACUGAGAUUUCUAGGAAAGAAAUUCAAGGUGCACGCCUAGUUGCUAAUCCUGGAUGCUACCCGACUUCUAUUCAGCUUCCUCUUAUUCCAUUGUUAAAGGUUGGUUUGUGCUCGGAGCAUUUUAUUUCGUAUUGUGUUUCCAUUUACAAUUUAUUGCCAUAUUUCAAGAAUCAAAGAGCUAAAGUUUUCAAAGCAAAACGUAUAAGAAUAAAGCAUGCCUAAACUUUUCUUACUGUGAUGAAUGGACUGUGCUGCAUAGAAUAUAUGUCUGUCUGUCUAUCUAGGCAAUCUAAGCUUUGAAAAUUGUGGUUAGCAGAACAUCACUGACUAUUCUUGACUAACGGUCUGAAGAUCAAAUGCUGUAUUUUUAUUCUAGAUUAUUAGAAAUGGAAAGCUGAAUAGCCAAUUUUCUAUAGCUAUGGCCUUCAUAACUCGCAUAACAUAAUUUCUGUUAGUGCUCAUAUCACUGACUAUUCUUGACUAACGGUCUGAAGAUCAAAUGCAGUAUUUUUUUUUCUUCUAGAUUAUUAGAAAUGGAAAGCUGAAUAGUCAAUUUUCUAUAGAUAUGGUCUUCAUAACUUGCAUUAACAUAAUUUCUGUUAAUGCUCAUAUAUGCUUUUUUUUUUUCCUUUUGUGUAUAGGCUGAAUAUUUCCCGUUUAUGCUUAAUUAGUACUGAAGAAGAUCUUCUCUUAAAUUGCCUGAGUUAAGAGCGCGACAACUUGGCUUUUAACUUUCACAUGUUUUUCUGCAGUUUCCUACUUCUAGUAUUGUUCUUUGUUGCAGGCAGGUCUCAUUGAAGUCAAAAAUAUUAUUAUUGAUGCAAAAUCGGGUGUUAGCGGAGCUGGUUUGAACUGUUUUCACUGCCUUUUGUGGAUUCGUACUCUAUUCUACUUAAAGAGUAGUUCUUUAAAUUCUGAUACCUGGCUUGCUAUGUAGGACGUGGCGCAAAGGAGGCAAAUUUGUACACUGAAGUAGCAGAAGGAGUACAUUCUUAUGGCAUCACCAGGCAUCGGCAUGGUGAGCUAGGAUUCAUGGUAAAACAAUUUUGUUGGUGAUACACGAUUUGGUGCCUUUUAUUCAUGCCAUAAGUAGGAAGUUUUAUGUAAGGAUACAUAGACUUGACAUCGAGAUCAAUGACAUGGUUCCUAUUGUUCAUUUCCAGUUCCAGAGAUUGAACAAGGAUUAUCAGAUGCCUCAAACUCAAAAGUGACUGUUAGCUUUACUCCACAUUUAAUGCCAAUGGUAACCAUUUUGUAGUACUGUGUGUCCUUUACUUGCUAUCUUUUUCCAUUGACAACUAUGUUUUGGCAUUACUGUUGUAUCUUACAGAGCCGGGGUAUGCAAUCGACCAUGUAUGUGGAAAUGGCUCCUGGAGUGUCUACAAUGGAUUUGUACCAGCACUUAAAGAGCUUCUAUGAGGUACUUCAUUCUAUGAUUGGAAUUCCUAGGGUAUAGCAUUUGACCAACAUGGUCCCUAAACCCUUCUUCCUUAACUGCCUUCUUCCUGACUACCAAAAACUAGAAAAGAACGUAUAAAAAUAUCUUAGCAAUCAUUGUGAGUGGCAAUGGGCUUGCAACUGGCUUGAAGGACUGAGAACAUUUUUUUACUCAAAAUUAAGCCUUUUGUUGUACUGUGGGCUGUAUGGGUGUAAUCUGCCACACAGAGCCAACAGUAAAGUCCAGGUGAUUAAAUUGCCACAGAUUGUUCAUUCUUGGCAUUUGUAUGGGCAUAGAUUAGGUUGGGGAAUGUGGACAUUCCUUGUGUAUGGAGGUUUUUAAAGAUUUCCUUUAAAACACACGCAAAUGGCACACAAUUUUCAUUGUGCUCACUAGAAGAAUAUCUUUUAGCCGUUUUUGUCCUUUCCUGUAAAGAAUGGUUUGUAUCGAUAAGGCAUCCAUUUCCAAUUUCCAGGAUGAAGAAUUUGUAAUUUUGCUGAAGAAAAACGAAGUUCCUCAUACUCGACAUGUCAGGGGAUCCAACUACUGCCUUCUGAAUGUAUUCCCAGACCGAAUUCCAGGACGAGCAAUAAUUGUAUCUGUGGUAAGUGUUUUAAUUCUUGCCCCCCCUUUCCCUUCAUGAUUUUUGUUCAUCCGUUGAUGCUACUUUGACUGGAGGCCAUCUGCUGCAAUUAUUUUCAUUGGUUUUUAAUCAAAAUGCCCUGUUACAGAUUGAUAAUCUUGUAAAAGGAGCUUCUGGUCAGGCCCUGCAGAACCUUAAUUUGAUGAUGGGAAUUCCUGAGAACACUGGGCUCCUUUACCAGCCUCUGUUCCCUUGAAUUGUUUUUCCAUUUGAUUUUGAUGAUGAAGAAUAUAUAAAGUUGUAAUUCAUAUACUGUUCAUGUCAAAGGCAGCAUGGAUUUCAUAGUGUAUGAUCAGCCGAACUUUUCAAUCUAAGUUGGACAUCAAAACUAGAGUUUGUUAACGGGUUGGAUCGUUCAUGAAUAAUGCUCGACGGUCGACUCGACUUGUAUUAGAUCAAAUUUUGGUUUAACUUAUGUUCAAGUGUAUGCCAAAUAUUAGAUCAAACGGACACAAUGACUGGAUCCAACAAUGUUAAACGACUGCACCUGCCCAUACUUUUGACACAAACCAAUAUAAUUGACGUAAGGGAGGGGCUUGGACCUGCCUUGCCGUAGAAAUUUUUUGCGAUAUCUGAAUCUGGACGCAUUAUAUCUGCCCCAUGAAAACCUAGUAGGAUCAUUUGUAAAAGCUAAAGCAUGUGGAACAUACAAUCAUCUACAAAAAAGGCCUAUCCUGAUUAAAGAAAGUGACAGAACCAGCUUCGACUUUACCAACAAAAAAGCAAGAAGGCAAAGUAGCCGUAGUAACCGGUGGAGCCAGCAGAAUUGGGGAAGCAACAACGGCACAUCUUUCUGGUGAAAAUGCUGUGAAGGCUGUUGUAGUUGCUGAUAUCCAAGAUGACAAAGGCCGACUCGUCACUGAAUCCAUAUGUUCACACCGGUGUAGCAAUUUCUAUUGUGAUGUUAGUGAUGCAAAACAAGUCGAGCCCUUGGUGGAGUGGACAGUCCAAACCUACGGCCAGCUUGAUAUCAUGUUUAGUAACGCUGGCAUAGCAAGUCCCUCUGAUUAGACCAUACUUAACCUCAGUAUCUCACAAUUCAAUCGUUUGUUUGAUAUCAAUGCUCGUGGGAUGGCUGCCUGCGUAAAGCACGCUGCACGAGUAAUGGUGGAGCAAGCGGUGAAGGGGAACAUUGUUUGUACAACAAGUGUGGCAGCCAGCAGAGGAGUUACUUGGACUGAUUAUAUAAUGGCUAAGCAUGCAGUUCUUGGACUUGUCGGGUUCGCAAGUCAGCAGCUAUGGGUUCAUGGAAUUAGAGUAAACAGCGUUUCCACUUCUCGCAUUGCAAAGCCAUUGACAUCUAAUUGUGUGCUGAGGACAAGUGAAAAGGAUGUUGAGAAUGUAUACGGGCUGCUUACUAGCUUGAAGGGAGUUGUCUUGACAGUAGACUUUGCAGAAGCAGUGCUGUUGCAUUCAUCACUGGUCUUGAUUUGUCCGUGGAGGAGGAUUGUUUAGUCUCCCUGGUUCAAACAAUCGAUUGAUUCUGUUUGCAAAUGAAGUUGAUGUCAUGAUCUGUAUUGGGAUCUAAAUAUAUCUUGUGAUCGGUAUUUCAGAAAACCUUCUUUGUAUCAGCCAUAGUUUUGGUAUUAUUUUAUUAAUAGUUUAUCAUUAUUUUUUGGUUUCAAAAUAUUAAAAAAAUGUGUAUUCGGUAUUUUUAAUCAUUUAUUAACAUCAUGGUGAAAUGAAAUCCCACUUUAAGCAAAAUAUGAGUCCUCUCAUGUGGCAGAGGGUUUUCCUCUCUCUUGGGAAGAGAAUUGGUCCCCAUUGAUGGGAGUUCCAAUUUUUUUUUUAAAACCAGCCAAAAGCUUUCAAAUUUUAGCAAAAUGAACGAACUUCCAAAUACUAAAGUGCCCGGUAAAUCCAUUCAUCAGAUGUAAGAGCCUGAAUUCCAUAAAUUGUUAGAAGUCAAUGAGGUAGACAAAGUUAACGUAGAGAGAGUUAAGGAGGAACUUGGUAGUCAUACACCAUGAAGGGACCUACAAGAAAGCAUUAAAUAUGCUCAAAUCUUGGUAGGAAUCCACAAACAGAUUGAUUCUAGAGAAAGGUGCUGAGGUGAGUAAGUUUAUAGUUUUAUAAUCACUUGUUGCCUUCUCUCCAACCUUCCUUUCUUCCUCUCACAUUUUUUUUUUCUUUUCUUUAACUGUUUGUCUGUUUGAGUGAUUUUUUACCUAGAGAAUAUAUAUGCUUUUAGUUUUUCUUCCUAGAUCUAGCUAAAUUAGUAGUAUUCUAGGUAGUAAGGUAUACCACAAUUACCACUCAGUAGACAACAUGGUAGAAGAAUUAGAAGAAAUAAUGCAGAAAUUUGCACUUUCAAACAAGGAGAAAUGUGGUACUCAACUGGAUUUAGGAGAUGUGAACGAUGGCAUUUUAAAAUGUCAGGCAAGCCUUAAUGGGAAAAUAUGAGGUGAGAAAAGUAGCCAACUACAAAGGGUGAAUAACUUUGCCACAGUGGCUUGUAGCUACCCAAAGGGAUUGAAAGUUACAGAAUUGGGACCAAAUUUAUUUUAGUUCACCAUACUAGAUGAACAAGAGAAGGAGAGAAUAUUAGUAGGAGGUCCUUGGGUGAUUAGACAACCAAAUCCUAGUCUUUAGAGAGUGGGAAGCAGGUAUAGAAGAAAAUGAAACAGCUUUUAAUUUGGCUCCUUUGUGGGUGCAAAUUUGGAAUCUCGCAACAUGUUGGAUAUCAAAACCAGCAGGGAAGAAAAUUGGAGCAAUUUUUAAUGAGGUGAGGCAGGUUAUAAUACUACAAACAGCUGGAAAAAAAAGGAAAGCAUAUGAAGAUUCUGGUGUUGGCAGACAUCAGCCAACCUUUGUUGAGAGGGACUACUGUGUAGAUGAAUAGAGUGACCAAAUGGGUAUCCUUUAAAUAUGUGAAAUAUCCAAACUUCAACUAUAGUUGUGGAAUAGUAGGACACAGUGAGAGAAAUUGUAAGGAUCCUAUAGUUGUGAAGAAGGUCAAAACUAGAACCAAUAUGGUUCUUGGCUAAGGGCUAUGAGUGGUAAAGGAUCUCCACAAAAAGAAAGUAGUCAAAAACUUUGGACUCCUUGUAGACAUGUAUAGGGAGUGAAGGAUGAGGAACUGAUUAGAUGAGAGGAUUUGAAUAACCAAUCAAAAUAAUUAGAGACUAGGCAAGUAUAUGGGAAUAGUAGCAGGACAAACCAGAUAUUACGAAAGGUCCAGAAUCAAGCAAUAGAAGGUGAAACUCCUCCAUUGGUGAAUGGUAAGGAGAAUGAGAGGCAACAAAUAGAACAUAUGAAGGGAGACACAAAGGGAAAGGGGAAGGAGAAGGAGAAUGCCAGAACACGGGUGGCAAGAUCUAGAGAAGGAAGAACAAUUGAGACAUUCAAGGUACAAAAAGCAGAAUCCAUACAAAUGUAGGGGUCACAGGAAAUUAAGGAAGAGCAAGUGAGAGAAGAGGGGAAUAACAAUAUCAAGAUAGGAGUGGAAGGAACAGGUGGAAAGGAAGAUGUGGUAAGAAAUGAGGUUUUAAUCACAAUGGACAUUGAUAAGAAAGAGAACCAGGAUAGCAUUAACAAAGAAGGGAAGAAAGAAUGGCUCAAAGUUCAAAAAGAGAAAGAACACUAAAGGAUCUCAAUGGAAUCAAGAGGAAAUUACAACUCAUGGAUGAUCUCAAUGGAAUCAAGAGGAAAUUCCAACUCAUGGAUGAAAUUAUGACAGAAGUUGAGGGGCAAGACGCUCAAGUUAAGAAAAGCAAGAGAAACAUAAACAUGAAGGAAUGUAGUGAGAUACAAGAGGGGGAAUGGACUAGCCCUUAUUGGUCCCUAAAGAAUCAAUAAGAGCUGUGGUAUGGAUGUCAAGGUGUAGGGAGCCCCUUGAUAAUUUCCCACCUGAAGGAAGUGAAUGAGAUCCACUCCCCAAAUGUUAUCUUCUUGAGUGAAACUAAAAAUAAAGCCAAAUAUAUGGAGAAAGUUAAGAGGAUUUUGAAUUUUGAUAACUGCUUUGUGAUGAAGGCCAUGAACAGAUCUGAAGGAAUGACCUUGAUGUGGAAAAUAAAACCAGAAUUAAGGAAAUAUAUCACUCAACAUUCACAAUUGAAGCAUUGAUUAAAGAUGAAGAAAUGAAAAAUGAGUAGUGCAUUAUUGGUAUUUAUGCAAGAUGUGCUAAUCAAAUUAAAAGGAACCAGUGGAAAGUGAUCAAAAGAAGAAAAGAAUAAUGGGGUAGAAAUGGAUAAUCAUAGGGAUUUUAAUGAUUUGUGCUCUAAUGAGGAGAAGUAGGAUGGAAGAGUCAGAGAAAAGUAGAGCUUUAAUGAUUUUGACAAUUUAUCCAUGAUAAUCGUUUGGUAGACAUUAUUUAUGAAGAUAAUCCAUGGACUUGGUUUAAUUAUUGAGAGAAUGGGGAAAUAAAGCAAAGACUGGAUGGAGGUUAAGUAGUGGAGAAUGGACCACCUUGUUUGAGAAGCCAAAAGCACAUAUAUGCAAAGCAUGGCUUUUGAUCAUAGUAUGCUGAUAUUGCAAACAACCCUAGUGGUUCUCUUUUGACAAAAAAUGGACACAAAGAGAAGAAGUAUGGGAAAUUAUCAAAAUGUCUUGGGAUGAGAGAGUUGUGGGGUCUAGAAUGUUCAGACUAAUAAGGAAGACCGAGACAUGCAGAGUUGCACUGUUAAGAUGGAGGAAUAAUUAAUGCAUAUAAGAAGGAGGAGCAGUAUUGGGGCCAAAAGGCAAGACCGAAUUGCCUUAAAGAAGGAGAAAAGAAUAUGAAAUAUUUUUAUGCAGUUGUGAAAGGGAAAAGAAAGGAGAACAAAAUAGGGAAUAUACAAAAGGAAGAUGGCUUCCAGACAACUAAUGAGAAUAAGAUAGUUACUGAAGAGAAAUUACAAAGUACUACCAACAGUUAUUCACUUCUACAAGCCAUGUUAGUCUAGAUGUGAUACUAGAUGGUAUUUCUGAAACAAUUACUUCUUAGAUUAAUGAAAAUUUAACUAGACUUGUGGAAGAAAAUGAAAUAAAAUUUGCUAUAUUCUCUAUGAAUCCCAACAAGGCCCCAGGGCCUAAUGGGAUGGGUUCUCUCUUUUUUCAAAAAUACUGGAGUUUAAUCAAAGAGGAUAUGGUAAAAGCUAGUAAAAGUUUUUUUCAUUCUGGCCACAUGCUUAAAGCAUUGAAUCAUACUACCAUCUCCCUUAUUCCCAAAAUUGGCAUCCCUACUGAUCUAAAACACUAUGAACCUAUGAGCCUAUGUAAUGUGCUUUAUAAAGUCAUUUCUAAAGUUGUAACAAAUAGGAUCAAACCUAUGCUUGAAUGUUGCAUUAGUAAGAAUCAAUUAGCCUUCAUCCCAAACAUACAAAUUUUGGAUAACAUUAUUAUCUCCCAUGAGUGCAUGCAUUUCCUUAAAAACAAAAGACAAGGUAAGAAUGGUCAUAUAACUAUCAAACUUGAUAUGUGCAAUGCAUAUGACAGGGUGGAGUGGGGCUAUUUGAAAGUAAUGAUGGAAAAGAUGGGGUUUAAUGAGACUUGGGUGAACUAGAUCAUGAAUUGUAUCAAUUCUAUUUCAUCUCUUUUAACAUUUAUGGAGAAACAAAGGAAUAUCUUAACCAUUCCAGAGGAUUAAGGCAAGGUGAUCCUCUAUCACCUUACCUUUUUUGCUAUCCUCUGAAGGGUUCUUUAAUCUGUUAAGGAAAGCAACUGAUCAAGGACAGAUAAGUGGUCUAAGGAUAAGUAGAAACGGGUCAGCAGUUACUCAUCUUUUCUUUACUAAUGAUGCACUUAUCUUCUGCAAAGCAAACAAGAAGGAAACAAGGAAAUUGAUGGGAAUACUACACCAAUAUGAGCAGAAGUCUAGUCAAAUGAUCAAUUUGAAAAAGUAUCAAUCUUCUUUAGCAAGAAUGCUAAGGAAGAUAUCAAAGAGGAAAUUUGUGCAAUCAUGAGAGAUGUUCAACCAAUCAAGCAAGGUAAAUACCUAGGUCUUCCCAUGGUGGUUACAAGGACCAAAGAACAGGUGUUUGGAUUUAUAAGAGACAACAUCAAGAAUAGGCUGAACAACUAGAAAAACAGACUUCGCAGUACAAUAAGGAAAGAAGUGAUGCUAAAGGCCGUCACUAUGGCAAUGCCAACACUUGCAAUGUCAUGUUUCAAGCUAAUAGCAAAAUUAUGCAAAAAAAUUGUAAGGCUAAUAGCAAACUACCGGUAGGGAAAAAUAGGAGGGAGGAACAAAAUACACUGGUGUUUCUAGACUAAAAUAUAAAAAGAAAGGAAGAUUGGAGGACUUGGAUUCAAAAAUCUUCAAUGUUUUAAUAAAGCUCUUCUUGGAAAGCAAGUUUGGAGAUUGAUUCGAUACCCAAAUUCGUUGGUUAGCAAGAUUAUGAAAGCAAAAUACUUCCCCAAGAACUAUUCUUGAUUGUAAAGUCCCAAAAAAUUCAUCUUGGUUCUGGCAAAGUAUCAUGAUAGCAAGGGACAUUGUCAAGAAAGGAACAAUGAAGAGAGUAGGUAUAGGCAAGAUCAUCAAUAGCAGGAAAGACAAUUGGAUCCCUAGCAAUCCAAAUGGAAGGCCAACUACUAUGAGACCAGUGGAUUGGGAAAAGCAAAAAGUGGGGGAGCUGAUCACCAAUUCAAUAGGGUUGAUGUUGAGAAUAUUCUAAAGAUUCCAAUUAGUACUUCAAGAAGGACAAACAAACACCAUUGGAUGCACAAUAGGAAAGGGGAGUUCACUGUGAAAUCAUGCUAUAGAGGUCCGUUGAAGAAAGAGGAGGAGAAGCAACAAGAAGGAACAGAGGAGGCAGGAACAAGCUUUGAUGAUUCCAAUGCAUAGAUUUGGAAGGCUGUAUGGGGACUGAACACAAAGCACAAAAUCAAGAUCUUUAUUUGGAAGUAUAUCACAGAUACAUUGCCAGAAAGAGAGGUAAUAUUCAAGAGAAUAAAGCAAGGAUCUCUAAUUUGUGCAAGAUGUGGAGAGCAAUUGGAAACAGUAGAACAUACACUGUUUCACUACCAUCAAGCCAAGUAGACAUAGCAACUAGCACCAAUUCAGUAGGAUGGAGUUCAGAACCAAACUGACUAUUUCAGGAAAUGGUGGGUAUCAAUAGCUUAAGCAAGAAGGAGAAGGGAUGGCCAAAAACACUUGGCCCUGACUGCUAACAUCCUGUGGCAAAUUGGAAGGACAUAAAUGACAUAGAAUUCAAUGGCAAGCAAAAAGAAGGAAUUAGAAUAAUUCAACGAGCAAGUAGUAAACGGAUGCAUGGAGUAAGAAGAAAUUGUUAAAAAGAAGGAAAAUAGAAGCACAAUAGAAACAAGGGGAAGGAGGAAGGAAAUAGUAAAGUGGAGAAGGAAGGAAAUAGUGAAGGGGAUAAUACUGAACUCCAGGUAGCUACUGAAAACAACAAAAAGGCACAUAAGUUGAGAAUAGGAAUUGUAGCUAAGCAGAAUUGAGAUCAAAUUCUAGCAGAAUGCUAGUGGAGAGAAGCUCAAAACUAAAAGCAAAAAUGAGGGUGAAGCAAUAAGAUUAGCUCUGAUUAAAUUAAGAGAGUAGCAGUCGCAGCCGGUUAGAAUUAUAUGUGAAAAAAGGCAACUCAUUGCUUUGAUAAGUGCAAGAACAAGGAAAGACAUCCAAAUGUCUACAUUGGAGGUAGAUAUCAAUGCAUUAACUAGUUUGUUUCAAUUGUACUACUUUUUGUGUAGGAAUUUUUGAUAAUAUGGAUCUAUGUAAUAGAUUCAAUUCAAAUGCAUUAGGUAUAUUUAGAGAUAAGGAGAGAAUUUUUGCUACUCCUUAAAUGUCAAGGUACACUUUUGUAAAGAUGAUUGAACCGUUGCUCAAAUACUAUAAAAUUUAGUUAAUUCAAUAAAAUCCUCUAUCAUUUAAAAAAAAAAAAUCCUGCUUUGAAAAAUUACGAGGCAAUGAAAAGAUAUAUAUUAAACAUUACACCAAUUCAUUCAAUCAUGGUGGUGAGAAAUGUUGAAAAGAAACUCCAAAAUUUCAUAUUGGUUUAUUUUCUAUUGACCAUUAGAUUAAUCUUUAUUUCAUGCUCAAAGAUGGGAACUUGGGGCACUCUGGGUCUUGGGCCUUCAAAAUCUAAAAUUAAUAUUUAUGAUUAGGUUUUUCUAAUAGGUGCCUAUAGGGCACCCAUUAAUAUACCUAACAUUCAUCUAAAGUUCUAAACUAUCAUGUAUAUACACAUAUUAACAAUUAUUACAUUCUUUUGUAUUUCUAUAUUUUUCCUAUUUAAUCUUAUCUACCCGCUUUUAUAUUUAUAUACUUUCCUUAAUUAAUCUUACAUUUUCAAAAAUAUGAUAAUUGAAAUAUAUUUUAAUGACUGUACUAUAUGCACCUGCUAGACAGACCCUUUAUGACUUUAACAUAAAUAUUUUAACUAUUAGUAAUUAUUGAUAGGGGUUAAUUCUAAGGAGAUACAUCUUUUAUUAUAAAUGGCAAGGUCCUUGUCAAUUUAAAUGUAUCUAUGAUACUAAUUCAUUAAAGGCCUUUCGGAGUAUUAUAAAUAAAAGGAUUCAAAGAACAUUCAAUGACUUUUCACUCUUCUUCUCUUCUUGAUCAAAUGAAGUUCUAUGAAAUCAUUCCAAUUAGAGAUCUUGAAUUCAAAUUCCCGUGCCCUCUUACCAAUUUCUUAAGUUCCAUACUGUCUAUUGCUGAAAAAAAAAAGUAAGAUACGAUUCUUAUCCCAUUGGUUAUCUUUAGUAUUUGGCAUGUGCAUUAUCAUGAAAUAUUCUUUUUGUAAUGGACUAAAGUCACAUGUUUAUAGCUUCAAUCCAUACCCUAAUACAUUAAUGACUUGUACCACGAGCAUUGAUAACUUGUGUUAUUAGUGUUAAAAGUUACAUCAGAUUUGGAUUUAGGAUAUAGAGGUAUGAAUUUAGUAUCACCCUUUUUUUUAAUUGUGAUUAGUUAUGAUCAGUGCAAGAUAUAAAUAAUUCAUCGAUGAUGUUUUUACAUAUUAUUCAUAUUUACGUCAUGAAACUAUUGCAUUCCAACUAUUUAAUUCCCAUUUUAGUCUUUAAAGACUUAUAUAUGUUAAUUUAUUACAAUGUGAUAAUAUUCAUUAUAUAAUAUAAUGAUAAAAAAAAUAAAAUAAUAGGUAUUCUUUGGGGUAGUAUUUAAAUUUUCUCAUGAAUAUGAUUAUAAAACUAUUCAUAUUCAUUUUCAAUUCAAGAUGAAAAAAAAUGCAGCAACAUAUUUUUACACAAAUAUUUUAUUACUUUUUUUUAUCAAAUUUAAUAGAUUUACUAUGUAAUGAUUAAAUUUACACUAAUCAAAGUUACCAUAUAUAGAUAAAAAGAUUAAUUCAAUUUAUUAAAAAAAGAUAGAAGUUGUUAGAAAAAAGAUUACUUUUAAGUAAAAUUGAUUAGAAGAGAGUUAGAUGAAAAAUAGGUAAAUUCCAAGUAUUCAUUGACCCAUUAAUUCUCUUCAAUUAAAUGUGCCACUUGCGCAUGCACAUGCAUACAUACAUACAUAUAUAUAUAUAUAUAUAUAUAAGUGUGUACACGCACGCACGCACACGUGCACACACACACACAUAUAUAAAUAUUAUAUACACACAAUAUAUGUGUAUGUGUGUGUAUAUAAUUCAAGAAUUCAAGAAUCAAAUUUCAAUAUCCAUUUCCAAAACUAUUUUACUAAUUUUUAAAAAUUGGAUAUAAAUUAGUUUUUUUAAAAUUCGGUUUUACCAAUAUCUGAUAUCCGACCUAGGCUAGUUAUUCGGUUUUUUUUUCCUGAAAGUUGAACACCCCUAUUUUCAAACAUGAUUUUCUUCUUAUCUUUCUUUCAUCCACAUGUCCUAAUCUAAUUGAAAGUAAUUAUUAGUUUUUGAUUUGAUGGAAAAAAAGUAAGGGUUAAAAAAAUUUGGCCAAACCUAAGGUAGGUAAAAUGCAAGCAACACUUCUAUAUAUAUAAUAUCAAAUUAUCGAGAAACUCACCUAACUUUUGAAAUGAUAAGUUUUUGCUACUCAACUUUUAAGAACAUGAAGUUAUUCGCUCAACUCCUAAACAUGUAUAUUUUGAGUCAUUCGAUCUAUUUCACCAUCAAGUUGUCACAUCUAAGAAUUCUCAUAAAUCAUGGAACAUAAGCGAGAUUCAGAUGUAGAUUUGACAGUGAAAACAAAUAGAAGGACCCAAAACAUGUUUGGAAGUUGAAUUAAUAACUUCCAAAAAUAUGCAUGUUUGGAAGUUGAAUUAAUGACCCAAAAAUAUGCAUGUUUGGAAGUUGAAUUAAUAACUUCUUACUCUUAAAAUUUUUUUUUCCACUAGCAGCAACUUCUAACCUAGCCUAGCCUACUCCUACUCCUAAGGGGGGGGGGACUUACUUUUUUAAGGGAAGCGACUCUAGGGAAUGGGCCAAUUGAGUCGGGGGAAUCUGAUGGGGAUUUAACCACCAUCUGACCAGACGGGUGCACCACUCACCCGCAUGGAUUUAGAACACUCCUCAUAUUGAGGCACAUUGAUGAGAGGCAAGGUUUGAACCAUUGACCUCUCACCCCACUAUAUACAGUAGUGGCCAACUCCUUUAUUGGGAAUGGCCAAAACAUAUCAUUUCAAAAGUUUGAUACAUAACCGGAUGAUUUGCUCCAUUUACAAAUAUUCUCCUGCAAGCGCUCAUUUAGUCAUUUUGACCAAAUGGUAUUGGUUUCUUUGUACAGCAAGCACUAAAAAGCCCGAACGCCUUUUGUUUCUAAGUUAGGCCCAACAUCAAGACCCUAGCCCAAAUUUGGAUCCGAAAGCAAAAAACCCUUCUCCCUCGUUCGUCUGAAAAUGCAGAAGAAACGAACAGCUCUCCAAAAUAGUUUGUUUGGAUAGGAAGAAUUUGUGUGAUUUGGAUUGCAAAUUUGUUUUGUAUGAUUUGUAAUAUGUGAAGAUGUUUUGUUUUGGAUGUUUGUAAUUUGAAUUGUGGCAGUCCGGAGGGAGUACAAUUUAGUGCGUAAUUAUGAAAUUGUCAGGAAUGAAACAGAUUUCACUUCCUUAGUCAAAUUUUGGAGUGCGGUCCCACUACAGGAGAGAGAUGGAUUCUUGAAUGCUUUUGGCACUUCACCAGAGUGGUGUGUAUGGGCCAAUUAUAUGAAAUUGACCGGGUCCCACAGUUUCAAUUCACUUUACGAACGUGACAGGACAAUCCACGGCAAUUGGCAGCUGAUGAAUUGGCACCUGAUGAAUUUUUGUUGAGCUACUUUGCAGUGGUCAAAUUUAACAAUUCGGUUUCUGGGGGAAACCCAUCAAAUUUACAAAGGACGAUAUAUACUAUGAGUAACAUGAAAAAUCGGCCAGGUGCAGAGGAUUUCCACGUUCGGGCAAGUCUGUCCACCAUCUAUGGAGGAGAAUGCUGGAAUUCUCUAGUAUGCGCGGCCCAUGCCACACCCUGAUGAUUUCGGUUUUUUUUUUGUUUGCAAUCACCUAUAAUUCGCGGGACGGCUUAAAGCAUGAGUUAAACAAUUGACGCGUUGUUUUAUUUAAUUUGUAACUAUUAAACAAUUUUAAAAGAAUUAGGAAAGGUGUCUGAGUCGAGGAAAAUUUGCCCUAAGUUUUACAGCAACGCUUGUCUAGAGACCGACAUAUAAAACUCUUUACUUGCUGAUACAAAUAGCAAACGACAUGCAACAACUAUAUUUGGCACAUACGGGAUAUAGAAUUACAAAUAUAGAAUUACAACGACAGACAACAACCAUAUUUGGCAUCACAAGAUAUAUAGUUGGGCAUGACAAAUUAUUAAAGGUACACUUAUUACUGUAGGAGCCUCUAGCGAAUAUCAAAUCAUGGGUUCAACUGUUUCAUGCACGUUGUCGUCUAUUUCUAUAGGCAUUGAACAUAUGCGUCGCCAGUGUGUCUCUCAUGGCAAUCCAUUGCUCAACAACUUCAGGCGGAGAAUGCAAUGGCUGUAUCUCGGGAUAAGGAGGAAUUGCACCAUGAAUAUCUAGAUCUCCCUCCUCCGCGUCAGCAAAGUACAUAUCAUUCGGCUGUUGAUCCCUAAUGAAGUUAUGCACGGCACAACAAGCAAUAACUACAUUUAUCUGUGUUGUCAUCAUGUAGUUCGGAACGGCUCCCCUUAAAAUGGCAAAUCUCCUUUUUAGGACACCGAAACUACGCUCUAUGACAUUCCGUAGUGCAAAGUGCCGGUAAUUAAACAGCUCUUUCGCAGUUGCAAAUCUCCCCCUCCUGCGACCACUAACAUUAGCUUAGCGUCCCCUAUAUGGUGGUAAGAAAUCGGGCAAGUUUCGAUACGCGGAGUCAACCAAAUAAUAUUUUCCUAAGUCAAUUAUGAGAUACGACCGAAUUAGUUUUGACCAUUUCUAACUUUCGGAUCAUUCGUACAAUUUAUUGAAUAUCGGUACGAUUUGAUAAACAAUUUGAAGUGUCCAUUUACGCCAGAUUUUUCAAUUGAAAAAGGCAAAACAAAUAUACUUGCUAAGCCAAAUUUAAGACAGCAAUUUAAGAGAUCCAAUAUAUAUAUCAUUCGGUCUGCUAAGGAUUGGGAUAAAAAUAUGCAAUUGCUUUCCAAAUUUACGUGAAGGGAGGGAUUACUUGUAUUACCUGUAGGAGGCAUGGGGAAGUGAUUUGGGCCGGUCAAAGCCCCAUCUAAGACUCGGGCAUCAUGUGCACUUCUUUCCCAACCGGCAUACACGUACACAAAUCGCAUAUCAUGGUCGCACACAACCAAAAUAUUUUGCGAUUGUACACCGUGUCGAUUAGUGUAUGCCACUUGCUGUUCUCUUGGGGCAUAAGCAGGUAUAUGUGUCUCAUCAAUAGCUCCAACGCAGUCCUGAAAUUAUAAAUUAUUAAAAUGGACAUAUUGUGGUGAUUCAUUGAAAUGGAUCUGCAUUAAAAUGUCAUUAAAAAAAAACACUCCAGUGGCAUACUCUUCGUCCAUGUCACACCCAAAAUUUCUGACAGAAGACUUAUCUCUACUGCAGCGUCAAAACAAAUCUACCCAAUUUGUUUUUGACAUCAAGAAUCCCCCAAACGUUGAACAAAAGAUUUCCUGUAUCACUUUUUUGUUUUCUUUUCUGGCCAAAGUUCAUCAAACGCAUGGGAAUAGGUGAAAGGGCUAAAGAAGAAAAAAGUUCAGGUUCAAAGAGGGACAAGUGAGAAAGCUAUGAGGAUGCAUAAGAGGAAAAAGAAGGGUAUACAGUGUGAAAAAUUGGCAUUUAGUUCUAUUACGUGUGGAAAAAAAAGGCAUUUAACACUGUCAAGAAGGCUAUAGAGACAAUUCAUGAAGUAUAUUCAUAGAGUAAAAAAUAAGGCAUAUACUUGGAUAGAGAAGUAAAGUCAUCAAAAAGGGUAAUAGCUAUGGUUGAGUGUAAUUAGGAUAAUAGGGCCAACUAGUAGCCCCCAUUUGGUUUUAAAAUGAUGUGCUCAUCCUCCUAGUGUUGUUAGACAAAAUUUCAAGCCAAAAAUUCCACAACCAGGCGAAAACAAGAAAAGAUAUGGCAUUUCCUUAUUUUGUUAAUUAUUUGAUGACCUAAAAUAUUAAGGACAGAAUUACAUAUCCAACCAAUAACAAGUAGAAAUUCUUAACAACAACAUUAGGUGGUUCCCUUGACGUAAAUUAAAAUAUUCAUGUCUAUUUAUAAGCUAUGAACAUGAAUAAAUAAAAUAGUUGGGAGAUUAGAAUGUCACCAUACUUGAAAAAAAGAAUUUUAUAUAUAGAGGACAAAGCAUUUGGAACAAAGGAUUUUUUGAAUCAACGAGAUAGGAUUUUGAAUGUCACCGUACUUCAAACCAAGGAUAAAACCUCGUGUCAUUAAGAAUUUUCGGAUGAAUUUCAUCCUGCCAUCUUGGAGUAAUUGCGAAUUGCGCGAAGGUGCAUAGGCCCCGAAUGACUUCGUGAAUAUUUCGAUGCACUGUCUCCGUCGAAUGGUUAAAUCGAUCAGCAAUCAUACGCAUUCUCAUGUUGUGGCUCAUCAUGACCAAUGUCAUCGCAAGUGCCUCCUCUAUUGUAACCCUUUUCUGAUAAUUUUGGGGAACAAAUCCGCAUUCGGCCAAAAGUUGGCACAACCUCAUGAAAGAAUCAACGUUUAGCCUUGUUGCAUCUAUGAUCCGGGUAUGGUGGCCUGACAGUACUUCCUCAACCCAGUGUCGUCCUGACAGCGCAGACGUCCUGCAUGGCACCUUCUGGAUUGGACCUCCGUAUGGUUCUGCAUUUGGUCCAAAUAGCAGCGCAGCACCCGCAGCAAACAGAACAUCCUCUUCGUCCGAAGACGAGCUGGUCCCCUGCUCAUCCCCGAAUUCGCUCAUUUGGAACCUUUCCCACCAAAUAUGUUGCCAGGAACAAGUGCUUAGCCCAAAUAGAGGAUGCUAUAUGAGAGCUGUGUGAGGUCUGAAUUAUCACAUGCUCUCUUUCCUUUUUGUUAUUCUUAAGUUCCUUUUAAAGGCAUAGCAUAUUAUCGGACUAUGGUCUUUUUUGCAUGGGGUCCAAUGGCCUAACAUCACGUGAAUAAUUGUCUGCAAUUAUUUCACCGUGUCGAUAAGUCAUCUUUGGAUGCCAAAAAAAUGACCUGUAGGCAGCUUUUGCCAGGCACAAAUUGACGUGCGUUCUGGGAGUAUCUACUUUCUUGCUCCUCCCUUUUGGACUUUUGUGUAGAUGGUGGCCUUGCAUAAUGAAUAUGGUAACGUUUGAGUAUGUGCAGAGCUUCUCUACAUAUGCUUGACUCAUAUGUUGAAGAUCUUUUCAUUUAUAUGAAAAAUCGAGUAAAAAAAAAUAACACAUGACUUCAUUUGCUUUUGUUACAAAUCACUCGUGCUUCAUUUGCUAUUUUCUCCUGCGUACCAAGUCCUGACAUUUCAAGAGUUUUUUUUUCCAACCAGGAUAGGAACGAAAUCUCGUGGCAUCUAUAUUUGGCAGUAGAAGAGUAGUAUAUGAAAAUUGGCAAAGAAUGUAACCGGCAAUUGAGUAACCAUAAUUCCUUCCUUUGCCAGAGGCAUGAUAUGUAUAUAUGUAUUUGACUUCUCUACAUAUGCGAACCAAGUAUAUAUAUGUCAGACGGCAAGUCCGGCAAGCUCUCGUGUUUUACUCCUGUACAUAGCAAUCAAUCUGCAACUACUAGCUACUUAUUAAAUGUUUAAUACAAGAGUAACGAUAAUAUAUAUAACUCCAAGCCAAAGUUUUAAACGAAACAGUUCCAAUUCAUUCCACCGGGAAAAUGGCAACUCAACAUCGACAAAUUAUACAAACUAAAUAAUAUUUGGCAGUAGAUAGAAAAUCAAUUGCAUUGGUACCAAAAGUCCCAAACAAAUCUUUUUUCAAUGGUGAUUAGAGUCAAAUGAAAUAGCGCAAUUUCAUUCCAGUUUACUCAGUCGAAAGUAAGCUAAGCCGAAGGGACACAAGCAAGGCCAAGUGUAGUCUACUUUCCAUCGGGUCCCUUAGGAAGGGCACUCUGUAGAGUCUCCAACCAAAACUCUUGCAUCUCGCGACUGAGACUCAGGAAAGUCUUCCGCCACUUGUCAUCUUGGAGUGCCAAAACUACAGCCAGCUUCACCCCUUUGUCCAGCUCUUUGAACGAUUCCACGACCUGGGCUGCCAUUUCCGGUCCAAAUUUCUCCUUUUCAGAUUUUCGGCGACUCCUGAUAUGCAGCUUAGAUUUCGCUAGGGUGGAUAGCGAGUUGGCACACUCGACGAAUGGAUCAGACGUAGUUCUACUUGACUUGCUUCCCUGGGAUGCACUCGGGCCCGAGCUCGUUAUCCCUUGGCUGCUUGAACCUCGCUUCACUCCAGCAAUUGGAGCAUCUUCAUCGAAACCAGUCCCCUGCCUGGCAUUGUACAUUUCAUCUCCCAGGGGCGAUGAGAAAACCUGCCCAGAACUUUGCCCAACUCGUUUGCGUGGAUUGUAAAUUGAAGGCGGUACUGAAGAUGCUUAAGCUUGACUCCCUGUGGCGGUUUUUGCUUCAAAGACCUCGUGCAGGAUUGCGUAUUUGUCGACGCAUUGGCCGGAUCUAAAGUAUCCAUAAUCCUUGUUCUCCUGAAUCAAAGACAAAACAAGGACUGAGAAACAAGAGUAUACAAAUCUGAUGUAAACUGGUUUUUUUAAACUAGAGAGGACAACAGGUACAUUUCAAGAGUAGUAUAUGUUUCCUUAAUCAACUAAUAGAUAGAAUUUGAGUUCGACAAAAAUCCUUUUUUGGAACAGAAUUGUAGACAAAAUCACAAUAAUCCAGCCUUAACAUAUGAUAUGCACGCAUGCAGCUACACUGUCCAGAAGUAAGUUUCGCCACUUUUAAGAAUACUAUUAUAGAUUAGGUGACGAAUACUCAGAAAAAAAUGCAUGGUCACGACUUCUUUUGAGCACAAUUCGAAGAUGAAUCUGUCGUGACUUUAUUCUUUUACAGCCUAUUAUGGAAUAUGCAGUCUAACAUACAUCGAUACGCGAAAAAAUAUGUCAUGGACAGGUAACCGAAUAGUGAAUGAUGGCAAAAAGAAUUGGCCAAAGUUUUUAGUUCUGCUUUGGAACUGAAUUUUACGUCGAAAGGAAAAAAUACCAGGCACAAAUUGUUCCAUUGAGAGGGUUCUCCCAAGAAGCACCUCCUAUUCUCGUCCCAACCAAUACCAGUUUCGGAAGUUUGUCACAGACCCUUUAACUUGACAAAGCAGCGCCAAAUCUUCUUCAACCGUGCGAGUUUAGAAUGGUACACUGUCCAUGCAUAUUGCUUCCCCCAGGUGGCAUUCAAGUGCGCAGCAAGCUUCAUCCAAUUGGCCUCUGAUGCAACGUUUGGAUUUCACUCCCCACUCCGUUUCCACUCGACGAAUGUCAUACAGAAAUGAAUCUCCAUAUUUUCAUCCCAAUGGGCCUUUGCCGUGGUGUGGUCUCGUGGCAUCUGAAAAAAGGAAACCAAAUGGAUUGCUAAGCAUUAAUAACAAUCUGGUUGAAGGAAGAACAAUUGACAGAUUACAAGAUCAUGGCAAUUCAUCCUGUUUAUCAAAGCCACUGCAGCAAAGCAAGUGCAAAGCUAGAGUACGAAUUUCAAUGCCCACCGAAACAGAAAUACGGUUUAUCCAGUGAGACGAUCUCUAUAAAUUUGAACCCAUUAUAAUUCAUAGACAUGUUUUAAAUAUGGGACAAAGUGAUAAGAAUAUUAAGGCUUAAAAAAGCUGGUGUACAAGUACUCAUACAAACUAUAUUAUACGGUAACAAUUAUAGAGAUCAUGGUCGCAUACACCAAAUAGCAAUACUUAUCCAUGGACUCGGGAAUGGUUCGAGAUAAAAUCUAGUCUGCCUAAGAAUAUAAGAGCGCAGGUAAUUAGCUUUUACUACUCAAAAAUUUUUAUUUGGGAUUGAUGAAUGGACUGAUUUGAGAACAACGGCCAGUUAACUUGGAUAGAGUCCAAACUUACUCUGAAAUAGUUGAUAAGGGACUGGAUGUAGUCGUUCGAGUCUGUGACGGAGUGGACGGAUGAAGCUUCAGAAAGACGGGGUGGAGUAGUAGGGCCGGACAGUGAUCUCCUCCGCUUGUUGGGCAUUUACUGGUGCUAUACUUCGGUCAAAAGGUCAUGGCACGUAUGGACCUCAGACUAGAUCAUAAACCACCUGAGGAAUAUUUAUUGCAGCAGGCAGAUAUGCUUUUGUUACAUGUGGAGGUAAUAUCCGAGAAUGUCAAAUUAUUAUAAAGAAAGGAUCGGGAACUACUACUGGGUUUCAAAUAUUUCCCUAUGCAUCCAUUCGAUAUUUUGGAUCAGUUGGGAAACUAUUUUGUCGCUUUGUAAUUAUUAAUAUGGCCGGCAAUAGAAGGCAAAGUCUUCAAAACGUUAAAUGGAUAUAGUUGAGUGGAUUACAUAGAAGGCAAUAGAAGGCAAUAAGGGGUUGAGUGUGAAAUAUUGGGAUAUAGUUGUAACCAUCAAGUGUGAUAAAUGGAUUACAUCAACAACAAAGGCAUGAAGAAGCAUGACAGAUGAACAUUAGGGCAGCUAUAACCGAGGAAUAUUCUAACCUCUUCACUACUCUUUAUUGAAUUCAUCAUAAAACCAGAUGAGACCGAAGGAAAUGAAAGACAAAAGACAACCGGGGAAGUUUAGGGUAAAUGAGAAUCGCAUAAUAAAAGUUGUACCAGCAGCUUCAACCAAAAAGUAACGAGCACGGCAGAAUCAAAUAUGCUCACUGGUACUUCUAGGUGAUCGGGGAAUUAAUUUUAAAAUAUGAAAUUUUAACAUGAUUAGUAGAUCCUAUAUCCGGAUCUGAAUUAUAUAAAGGGAACCUAUUUGACAACAUCUAUGAAAUCGUAAGUCGUAAUUUUCUAGACUAUUAGUACGGAUACCAGCAAUAGCACCAACAUUUUUAGCAUUUUGAAGAUCGUAUGAAUGGCCUGAUAUAAAUUAAAGAAAAAAGGGCCCCAGAUUAAGAAGAAAACUGAAUUGGGAUGGCUUCCAAAUUGUCUCUUUUCUGUGAAUAUUUGGGAAUGUCCGAAUAUAUGCGUAAAGGAAAAAAUUUUGAAGGGCGGGUGAAUGUAUAUUGGGCAAACGAGGGAGGGGCUUUGGGAUAGAGACCUACAAAAUACACACUUAAGAAUCCCGGCCAAAUCAUGAAAUUGAGUCGCACAACCAUAUUACCAAUCUCAGACAGGAAAUGAUAAUAUCAAAAUUAUACCUGCCAAAUCUGAUUUUAACUUUAUACAAAUCUGGCCUUUAGAUUUUCCGCAAAAGAUUUCUGGAUUUCUGAUUUCUGCGUUCGGUAUCCACAACGCCGUCUGCGCCUAUGGCUUUUAAAAACCCAGACGAUCUCCUUCUUCGUUCAAACCCUUUAGAACAAACCAAGCGCUUAAUCAACCCACUGUGACAGCCAACCGAUUUCUGCAAAUAUAUUUCUUCGGUACUUGGUCGCACAAGCAAGUUAGGCAAUUUAAGAUUUUGGGGUGAAAUGCUUCUGCAGGAGGAGAGAGCUGCAUAGAGUAGUUUUGGGGGAGAAAAGAGUUAAACGAAGGUUUUGCAGGUCGUUUUAUUAGAAAGACCAACGAACGGAUCACGGGGCAGACAAAGCAUGGGUGUCUGGCCCUUGAUGGGAUAUUAAAUUCGCAUUUCUGACCAUUUCACGUGAAUGAAAGAAUUUCUCUUCCUUUAAAAACUUUUGUGGGGUCAACCAACGCCGCUAACCAAAACUUGUAGUCUGAGGUGUCCAAACAAGAAUUUCAAAAAUUAACUUGCUGUAGUAAAUUCCGCUAACCAAAAUUACUAUCCAAACAGAUUUAGAACACUCAUCCACAUGGAUUUAGAACACUCCUCAUAUUGAGGCACAUUAAUAGGAGGCAAGAUUUGAACCCUUGACCUCCCACCCCACUAUAUACAGUGGUGGCCAACUCCUUUAUUGGGAAUGGCCAAACCAUAUCAUUUCAAAAGUUUGAUACAUAACCGGAUGAUUUGCUCCAUUUACAAACAUUCUCCUGCAAGCGCUCAUUUAGUCAUUUUGACCAAAUGGUAUUGGUUUCUUGGUACAGCAAGCACUAAAAAGCCCGAACGCCUUUUGUUUCUAAGUUAGGCCCAACAUCAAGACCCCAGCCCAAAUUUGGAUCCGAAAGCAAAAAACCCUUCUCCCUCUUUCGUCUGAAAAUGCAGAAGAAACCAACAGCUCUCCAAAAUCUCUUUGAUUCUCUCUGAAAUAUUUUACCAACGAAUCAAAUGUAUUUUUCUUGUACUUAAUAUAUGUACUCAAAUAUACAACUGCAUAAUUAAAAUUAUUAAAAGUCUCAGGAAGCAAGAAAAAUUGCAUAGAAUUCAAAAAUGGCUCCAAAGCAGAAGCAGAUGAAGCCGACGCCGGCGGCGGCGACUCCGACAAUCGCGAUAGAGGAUCUUUUCACAUCUCUUGAUCGCCACAUCCAGCGGUCUGAGUUUAAUCAAGCCAUCAAAGUUGCAGAUCAAGGUGCAAUUUUUUCUCCUUUUUUCCUUUGUUGGUUAUGCAAUGCUGAUAUUUAUGGAACAUUUCGAACUUCGAUCUGUUUAUCAUUUUUUUAACUUUUGAUGCAGUGCUAUCGGUUGCACCUAGUGACGAGGAUGCUUUGCGAUGUAAAGUUGUGGCGUUGAUAAAAAAUGAUAAGAUCGAUCAAGCCUUGACGACAAUUCAGGAAUCUGCCAAGAAGUUUCCUGUGGAUUUUAGCUUUUUAAAGGUAAUUUAUUUGCAUUAUCCAGUUUGUCUAAAUUUUCCAGUGACUUCAGCUUCUUUUAGUGGGUGGAGUUGACAUAGCUCCCAGUACGAUUUAUUUGUUGUAUGUAUUUGUAUUGCAUUUGUUUCGAUCAAUCUAAAAUAAUUUCUUUGCUCUUAUGUCCCAUCGAUCUAAUUACUAGACUUUUCAUGAAUUUCAAUCUGAACUUGGUAUCUAUUGAAAGAAAAGCAUAAAAUCAAUCCAGGAAAAAGGAUGUGGGCUACAUUUUAAUAAAAUCAUUAGCAAACAUUCCGAAGAAGUAAUUGAUUGAACCAGAAACAGGAGCUCCACAGGCACUUCUCGAAUUUCUAAAAGGAAUAGUAAACUUCACCAAUUUUUAUGGCCUCAACCAUAAUAUAAAAUGGAAGUUGAUAAAGUAUAAUUCAAGUUCUUAAAAUUAUAAAACAAGUGGUGAAUAUGCAAUAUGUGACUUGCCUGAGGGAGAUUCCUCUUAUGUGUGGUAUCUCCUUAGACAACCAGUCCACUAUGUCUAUGCCACUUUUCAUAGAAAGUGUGUAUACACGUAACAAAACGACUUCUUUUCUUUUCAAAGAGGGAUUAAAAAAAUGUGACUUAAUUAAUUAGUGAGAAGAUGAAAUGAUGCAAAUGUUUAGUUCUAUGUUUUGGAAGGUUCAUAUAUAAGAAUUGGAUUCAGGAGCUACUUUUGAAUUGAUGCAGGGUAUUGGCCUUGCUUAAGGUUUUUUUUCCUCAGUUAAUUAGAUAUUUUGCUUCAUUUGCUCUUCUGUUUUGGAUGGGGUAAGUUUGAUGCUGUUAGUCUUGAUAUUCAAUGUCAUUCUAUAUAUAACGGAUUUUAAUUUCUUUCUGUUGAGUCCUGAAGAGAUGUCAUUCUAUAUACAGUGGAUUCUAAUUUUUUGCUGUUGAGUCCUGAAUAGUUAUAUGCUGAACUGCAGUUAACUGGAAAAGUUGGUCUUUAACUCUUUACUGUUCAAAAAACAUAACUUGCCAAUGUUGGCUUACUGUUAAUUUUAUUUAACCUGACGGUUUUAAACUUCUUAACAAUUUACUGGAGUGGCUGACUAUGCUUAUUACGUUACUUGUAACUUCUGGAAACGUUUAAACAACUUUGUUUUACCUGUAGAACAGAAGAAAUAGAUGACAAUUUCUGAUUGGCUAGAUUAACUUCCAUCUCAAUUUUUUCGGAGGAAGAGGGAAACUUGAUGGAAGAUCAGACAGUUUGUCGCGGGUCCAAGUUUACUUAGAUUGACUGCAUUUAGGAUGAUAAUGUCCUGUCUGUCUUCCUAAACUUUGUUGGCUUCAUAUUUACAUUUUUAAUAUGGAUAACGCAUAUUAGUAAAGACCACCUUGUGUGUCUUGCAUGAGCUAAUGACGCGAGUCUGCAUAAGUCAAUAUUUGGUGGUUGUUACAUUCAGCAUUGACAUGUAGUUUUAGGUAGCUUUGGUUAGAUGGGGAGGGGGUUAUUGGCCGGAGUAUAAACCUUUUCUCUUCCCCCUUUGGAGAAUAACUUGUAGGAUGAUAUACUUUGAGGUUAACUCAUAAUGUCAGAGUUUUUACUUAGAUACUCUGUCAGCCCGAUAGAUAAUUUGAUACCUUCAUUUCCGGUCCAACCUGAAACAAUAUUGUGAGUGCGUGAAUAAACAUGCCAAUCAUGUUACAUGCCUGCACAGGGCAAUCCUACAGUUUCUGGAAAGCAGCUCUAGAUAUUGGUGCCACUGACUUUUUUCUUUAUGAGAACAUUUCAACUCAUAGCAGUUAAUAUGAGGGUAGAAUUGAUAAUUUUGCACAAUCAGUAUGAUAAUUUAAUGAGAUUGAAGGAGUAAAAAUUGUUAAAACAUUACAAGAAAUACAGAUGGUAAUACUGUCUGCAAACUGAGUAUAUUUCUUGGCUUUUCCUUCAUUUGGAAAUUUUAAAUUUGAUCCUUCAUAUGUUUGUCACUUGGCUGAGCUGUACAAGUAACUGUUUGUUCUUCUUUCUCUUGUCCUUCUAUGUCUGUUCAGGAUUAUAUCCCAUAUUUAAUUGACAAAAGCAUUGCUUAUAAGCUGUAUAUUAUUGCAUAGAUUCUCUUAUAACAAUUCUAACAAGAUUUCACUGUUGUAUUUCCUCCUAACGGCUAACAGCCAAGUGAUUUAUCUCCUUUUAAUUCUCAGGAAUAGUUUUUUGCACUUGGUUCUUAUAGAUUAUCUGAGCAUGGGAUGUUCUUUGUGAACAUCAUUUUUUCUAAAGUGGCAACUUUCCAUUGAAAUUUUUAUGUUUUUAGAUAUUUCAAGAUUUUGUGGGUUCCACUGAACCGGGUUGAAUGUCUCUUGGAUUUGCCUAAUGUACUGAGAGCUUCAGUGAGUUGAGGCUGCACCUUUGCAUCGGGAAAUUAGAAAGAUUGUCAGUAGGGCUUUUUUUUUCUAUCUGGUUUAUGUUGAUUAGAUAAACAAGUGAUUCAAUUGAUGCACUAGGUAGAAUUUAGCCAUUUGAAAGUGAUUUCAUAUCUAGAGUAAGUAAUUAUAAUCAAGUUUCCGAGUCACAUCAAGGCCCUCCAUGUUCAUUAGUUUUUAACUCCUGGAGUGUUGUAACAGAGAUGCGGGUUGGGAAGCUGGUAAAAUCUCUAUGAUCUGGCAAGAAAAGGAAAUACAUAGAACCAUUUUAAGCAAGUCAAGCCAAUUUUAGGUGGAUACAUCUGCAAGUUCAAACCAAUGAGUACAGUUAAUUGUAGAAAUAGUGUUUUGCGUUAAACUUUGGGCCUUUAUUAUUCUUCCCUUUCUAUGUCCGAUUACUAUUGUAGCUGUCAAAAUUUGCCUACAUGUUUCCUUUACUUCAGACUUUUGCCAUCUUUGGUUCUGGCUGGGGGAGGCAUAAAACUUUAGAAUAGAGAAGCAGGUACACGAUGUUGUUAACUAGGUACCAUUUUAAAGAUAGAUGUUUGGUUGAUGAAGAAUUAUUUAAGAUAAUUGUGGGCUCAGUUAAACUGGGGAUAUUCUGCUUUCCUGGAAAGAGAGGAUGCUAAAUAUGUAAAAGGGACUGAGUCAAUGCUGUAAAUUACAAAUGAAUUUUGUGUAAUGCUUCACCUUUUUGCUUUUAGGUCUUGUUUUUCUGGUAGUACAUCUGUGAUAAAUCUUUUGUGUAGUUAUUUUUAGUAUGUGGAUGGACGAUGAUAUCUUUUUCCUUGUUCAGAUGGCAUUAUUAGCCCCCCCUUUUUUUUUUUUUCUAAAUUUUCAAUAUUCCUCUGAAGGUAGAUAUUGCCCUUUUUUACUGAUCCUUUUUUUUUGGCUUCUUCUCUUUGGAAAGGCAUACUGCUUGUAUAGGCAAAAUAAGCUGGAGGAAGCAUUGGAGUCCUUGAAAGGACUGGAAGGGAGUACUGAGACUAUGCUGUUAGAAUCUCAGAUUUUAUAUCGUCUGGGGAAAGUUGAUGCUUGUGUGGAUGUUUAUCAGAAGCUCCUUAAGUCCAAAAUUCAGUCAUUAGAAAUAAAUGUUAUAGCGGGUUUGGUUUCUGCUGGUAAAGCUAAUGAAGUGCAAGGAGUGAUGGACUCACUCAGAGUUAAAGCAACUAGCAGUUUUGAGUUGGCAUAUAACACAGCUUGCUCAUUGAUUGAAAGAGGCAAGUAUAAGGAUGCAGAGCAACUCCUGUUAUCAGCUAGAAGGUCAUGUCACUUUCUCAAUUCUGAAGCUCAUUUGCUCAAUUAGACAAUAGAGAGGGAAGUUGCUUCCAUGAGUCUAUAUUUUCUUUCCAUAUUUUAUGCCUUUAGAAGCUAGUUAUUUAUUGUCAGUGUGUUUGUGGAUCAAAAUCUGCUUUGACCUAAGUGGUAAAAUGAAGAUCUAGAGCUUAAGCAGGAUUGUCUAUCCCCUUUUAUUAGUUAUGAUAUCUUGUAUUUUAUGUCCCAAAUUAUUUGUCAUGGUUUAGAAGGGACAUAGAAAUAGACAAAUAUUCUAAUUUUGUCCUUCAUACAAUUCCAAAAGGAACAUUAGACUCAGUUUCCAAAUUAAAUGGAACAAACCAUUUUCACAUUUAAAAUUCCAAGAGCAACAAACAGUAUCUGAAUUUAGAUUGAGGGGCAAUCACAGAAAAAUUAUGUUGCUAGCCGGUCAAAUAAGAAGUGUGUAAAGUAGUGUGCUAAAUUAACCAUGACAAAUGAAAAGGAAAGGAGGGAUUAGUAAUGUUUAUAUUUUUCAAGCCAGACUAAAAUAUUCAUAUGUUAGUCUACCACUUGUUAAGCAAAUUUGCAAUACCAUUAUCAAGUUUUCUACACGAGUGAUGAAGAGACUGUAGCAGAGACCAUGAAACAUUGUAAAAUCUAGUUCUUUUUAUGCAUUUAAGAAAGUAAACUACCUUGCUUUUUGUGUUUGCACUGUCUUGAUGGUUAUGAUAGCAAUAAUCUUUUUCUUUUUUGUGGAUUUAUUGAUGCUUGUUUGGUAUGGAUGGAUAGUUUUGCUGUAAUGAUUUCUAUGGAUUGAGUGUAAAGAUGCCAAAGUUUGCUCUAAAUUCAUUUCGUCUGCAAAGAGAUGACAAGAUUUUGCUAAUCAUGGUUUCUAUGGGUUUACCUUUUUACUUGAGACUUCUUAAUGGGUGGACAUUUUGUUUAAAAUUGUCUACGGUAGGAAAUCACAAGGCUGUAUAUUGAUUUUUUUGUAACUGAGCCUUUUCUUCUUUGUAAUUGUUUCUAAACAGAUUAGAUGAGAUUUUGCUAAUCAUCCUUUCUAGUGGUUUAUCAAUUCACUUCAAAGCCUUUUUAAGGGUCUGUCUAUUUUAGGAAACAGUUUGCUGUAUCUGUAACUAUUUAAACUUUUAUGUGUUAAUGUUGCCAAAAUAGUUCCUGAUGUGUUCAUGAAAUUCUUUUGUUCGCAAAAGUAAAAUUGAAUUAGGUGCUGACUUAGAUUUGGUGACUUUUCAGGCUAAAAAAAGCAUACUGAUUUAUUUGACUUCUAGAUCAGGACUAAAAGUCAGAAAUCUGUCCUUUUUAUUAUUCAUACUUGCAGGACUCUUGAAAAUUUUGGCCAAACUGCUACCCCCAAAAUGUUUAAAUAUUGUGAAAACGUAUAGCACCAAUUAGCAAUUUCUCCUUUUGUACGCUUGCUUCUACCAAAUUUUUUAUCUGGUGUUGUAUUUUAUUGCCUUGUAUGUGUUGAUUAAGAUUUUGUCUUUCUUUCUUUAUUUCUUUUUAUAAGAGGUAUCCUUUUGAAGAAGCAAGUUCACUUGAAUUGGUUACCUUUCCUAUAUUAUCACCUACAUAGCUGCUCUAUAAUUUGUUAGCCAUUGGAGGCUGUAUAGGAGCUACAGUUGCAAUAUAAUUGAUAGUAUCUAUUAUGUUCUUGGAAUACUUUUAUUGUUGAGACUUCGUUGGCAUCGUUGUUUCUAGUGAUCCAUUUUCUUGAGAAGGUUUUUUGUUCCUUGAAUUCCCUUUAUUGCAGUUGCUUCUACAAAGUUGUCUCAUUUCUGCUUGUACUGGCUUGUAGGCUAGUGCAAAUAGCUUAACUUAUGCUGUAAAUAUUUUGGUGAACAAAUGAAGACACAACUCAUUAUAUGGCAUAAUUCUGUUACAGUAAAAUUUGUUUUUGGUUCACUGUUCCAGCAUCCAUUACUUGAAAUUAGGGUUAUGUGGAGUCAGCAGGUUUACUAUGUGGCUGAAUUUGAUAGUAUAGAGCAAGGUUAGCUAUACACCAAGUAUUGCUUGCGUUUGUUGUAAUUUAUGUUGCAGGGAAGGGAUAGAAUAUGCUGAGUUCUACUGUAGCUUUUGCCUGCAUUGAUUCUUGCAUAGUCAUUUAAGUCUUAUCUUCCUUACCUUGUACCAGCAUGCUGUGGCUUUGUGUAGCUUUCACUUCAUUUUUCAUCUGAUAUCGUGUUUACUUUAAGUACUUUGGGUUCCACUAAAUUUGUCCAUUCAUUUUCGCAGAAUUGGGCAAGAAACUCUAAUGGAUGAGAACUUUGCUGAUGAUGAGAUAGAAAAUGAGUUAGCACCUAUAGCUGUUCAAUUAGCAUAUGUUCAGCAAGUAAGAUGAUUUCUAGAGAAGUAUUUGAUUUUUCUGUGGUAGAGACAUCUAUUAAGGUAACUCGGUAUUCUCCAACAGAUGCUAGGAAACACACAAGACGCGCUUGUAUCUUAUACUGAUAUUAUCAAAAGAAACCUGGCAGAUGAAUCAUCGCUUGCUGUGGCAAUAAACAAUCUUAUUGCUUUGAAGGGUCCUAAAGAUGUGUCUGAUGGACUGAGAAAACUUGAUAGGCUAAUUGAGAAAGGUGAUGGAACACAAAGCUAUAAGCUUACUCAUGGACUUGACCUAAAGCUCUCAACAAUGCAAAGAGAGGCAUUAUACACUAACCGUAUGCUGCUACUGCUUCAUUCUAAUAAGUUGGAUCAGGUAACAUGUUUAGGAACUUGCAUUGAUCAGAUUCUUGUUAACAGCAUAAUGAAUUACACGUGUUGUUCAUUUAAUGGUUCCCCGAUCAUCUGUAUAACACAUAUUAGUUGAAAAACUGCAGGCUCGUGAACUAGUUACUGCGCUGCCUGGCAUGUUUCCUCUCAGUGUAAUGCCUGUUCUUCUUCAAGCUGCUGUGCAUGUGAGAGAAAAUAAGGCAGGCAAAGCUGAGGAAAUACUGGGGCAGUUCGCAGAAAAGUUCCCUGAGAAGUCCAAGGUUAUCCUGCUUGCAAGGGCACAGAUUGCAGCUGCUGCGGGUCACCCCCAAGUUGCUGCUGAGUCUUUGGCAAAAAUAGCUGAUAUCCAGCACAUGCCUGCCACUGUGGCCACGAUCGUGUCUCUCAAAGAACGAGCUGGAGAUAUUGAUGGUGCUGAGGCAGUGUUUGAUUCCUCAAUUAGAUGGUGGUCAAAUGCCAUGACUGAAGACAACAAGCUUGAUAUCAUCAUGCAAGAGGCUGCUGCUUUUAAGCUUAGGCAUGGGAGGAAAGAAGAGGCAGCACGCCUCUACGAGGAAUUGGUCAAAAGCCAUGGGAGUGUGGGAGCUUUGGUUGGCUUAGUCCAAACUGUUGCCCAUGUUGAUAUUGAAAAAGCGGAAACUUAUGAAAAGCAGCUUAAACCGCUACCUGGAUUAAAGGCAGUUGAUGUGGAUGGCUUAGAAAAAACUUCUGGAGCUAAGCCCGUUGAGAGCGGUCCCACUGCAGGUAUAGCUGAAGCAUAUGAUGCCAAAACCAAGGAGAAAACGAAGAAGAAGAGGAAGAGAAAGCCGAAGUACCCAAAAGGUUUCGACCCGGCAAAUCCAGGUCCUCCCCCAGAUCCUGAAAGGUGGCUACCUAAGAGGGAAAGAUCGAGUUACAGACCCAAAAGAAAGGACAAGCGAGCUGCUCAGAUUAGAGGUUCUCAGGGUGCAGUGGCUAAGGAGACGGCCACAAAUGUCAAUUCAAAAUCAACCCAAACUUCUAGUUCCAAAGGAUCUUCGCAGAAUGCUAAUGCUGAGCAAUCUAAACCCUCGUCCAAGUCAUCGAGGAGGAAGUCGCGUAACUAAUUGGAUCAACAGCUGCUGUUUCUUAGUUUUCGGGAGACUGGAAAAGUUUCCUGAUUUUGUAGUCUAUAUGAAUUAUGGUUAAAGAUUUUUUUUUUUCUGGCUGGAUCAUCAGCCUCUGCAACCUAGGAAUUCAUCAGGUCAUUCACCAGCUGUUGAUCUGCACUGGGCAGUUAAAAUUUGCUGCCAGGGCACUUUUUAUGUUACCUUUUAAUGAUUUUUGUUUUAUAUAUUUUUUUGAGCUCCUUUUUCUAAGGACUUGACUGCUGAAGAGAUUCAAUUCCCUCGUUUCCCAGUAAUUGGUUCUUCUUUUCAACUGUGAGCAAAAGGGUAGACAUAUUCAUUUGUCAAUGAAUCAAAUUCAUUUUAUACUAUAAAGGAACAACCUUAUAAUCAACAUUAAUUUUUCGUAAGCCAAUAACAAAUUAAUUUUCCAAACAACCAUCUGUGCUGAGUUGGAUAGUUCCUCUAUUAAGUUAACUUAUUUAGUUCCAAUUUCUUUAUUUACUUUCUUUUUCUAUCGUUGGGUUAAACAAAGCAAUCUCAAAUCACCUUCAUCAUGUAUCUCUCUUAGUUUGGAUUAAAAUCUUCAACAUUAGUUGGUUGAAAUCAAUUUAAUAGCAUCUUUUACUUUCUUCCUUAAAUAAAAUGACAUUAAUAUUUUAUGGUCUUCCAAUGACAAUUUCUUUGUUAAUAGUUCAUUAGAAUACAUUAUAAUACUACACAGGUGUUUAACUUUUGACCAACUUAAUAAGUAACUAAGCCUAGUAAUCUAAAACUUAUUUAGAUUAACUAUACUAGAAACCACUAUUUUGUUUGUGGAGGAAAGCAAAUCGAGUGCAAGUAGAAGAACAUUUUAAUGCACAUCACCCUAAUAUUGCUAGUUUUCGAGGAGAAGAGCUUUGCCCUAUCAUGAACACAUUUGUUCAUAAAUUAUUGACACUAUGAAAUGUUUUCAGUAAUUAGAGUCUACUAUGAGAGCUUAUCAAAUAAAUCAUUUUGAGCUUCGAAUAGAUAAAAUGUAACUAUGAUAAAAGUUCAAUGGGUUUAGUGCAUUUAACCCUAAUUUAAAAUUCCUCAAUUAACCUCUCGUUUCCUCAACUUUCAAAAUUAGGCAAGUAGUUUAAGACCUCACAUUUAUACAACUUUUGUUAAGCCACCAAAGAAGAGACCAUAAAUGCGACCAAUUUUAAUUACAAAAGAAAACUCUUAAUCACAAAAGAAAUGUACUAUGAUACGGUUAUAAGCACUAAAUAAAUGAAUCUAUUUAGAACUUUAUAACUUGACCAUAAAUGCGACCAAUUUUAACUUGUCUAUAGAAGACGGGUAUACAAAAUGCUAAGAAAGUUGGAAUAAAAGAUAUCGAUAAUUGUUCUCCUUUGAUUAAAUUAGACUAAUACCUAUAUUGGUAGAAUUUUUAUAGUACUUUAACUCUCCUUGCAAUAUUUCCAAAUUUAAACCCUAGGCUAUAAACUCAAUUUUUUUUUUUGUGAGAAAAUUUAAUUUUUCAUCCACAAGAGACUUGGUUGGAGGUAUUUCCUUGUUUACAUGUAAUAUCUAAACUAGAUGUCUGUUUACUUAAAUGAAUAACACGAAAAUAAGUCAUAAACGCUUAUAACCUGACCUUCUUGUGGCCUGAGUGCUACUCUUCAAAACAGAAAAAUCAACCUGUCAAUAACUUCCUUUCUCCCACAAUUUGGCAUGUGCCACCACCACUUAAUAUGUGUCAAGAACCAAUGACGUGUGUUAUAAUUUUGUUUGUCCAAUGCUGACUCAUCACUUUUCUUGACCAUAUGAAUAGCCUUUCCUCUUUUAUUUUAAACAUUAAUACUGAAAAAUCAUCCACACAAUUCUGUAAGAAAUGUGAGGAGAGUAAGCAAACAAGUGGAGAACUGAAGCAACAACAUCUAGAAAGCAAGAAGGACAAGGAGAUACCAAAUAGAGGUAAGUUUCGAGACAAGAACAUGCUAAAUUAUGCUGUGUAAAUAUUGCAUUCAUAUUACUACUAUAUGACUACUUGCAUAUUACACAUUGAGUGUACAGUUUUAGAUCUACAUCCAUAAUAGUAGAUAUGCUAGUCUCAUGUUAAAAUCAGAUCAAGUAAAAUUAAUAAUUGUUACUCUUAAAUGGUUAAAAACUACUAUAAAGCAUGCUUUUAUUUUGUUUAAAUGCUAUAUUGUCGUUUAAGAUGAAUAUGCUAAAUUGUCAUUUACUUGACCAGCAUAUUCUUGUUACCAUAAAUCUUACUGUGUACUUUAUCGCACUAUAAAGCGACUGAAUGAAUCGGCUUGUAACAACUCCAAGAAACUGUUGAACUUGUGUUUUUGACAAAUCUUUUUCAAGAAAAUUUGUAAUUGAUUGUCCAACAUGCUGCUCAGGAGUACAUUUUCCUUCAGAAAUUGAAUUUCUUGUUUUCCCAAAAUCAUUUUCUUUUCAGAAAUCAUGAUACCAUAUUGCUUAACAAUAUUAUGAAAAUCAAUAAGCAAUUGGAUGUGUUCUUCUCAAGUGUUACUGAAAAGAAAAAUGUCAUCAAUAUACACCAGUGCAGUGUGAAGAAUAGGCUGGAAAAUUUUUAUCAUGGCCUUUUAAAAAAGUGAAGGUGCCGUCUUUAGGCUAAAGGGCGUCACUUUCCACUGGAAGUGAUAAUUUGGAAUGCAAAAAUCAGUUUUAUGCCUAUCUUCUGGAUGUAUUUCCAACUAUCAAAAUCCAGAUUUAAGAUUUUCUUUUGAAAACUAUUUUGCUUUUGAAAUCUGGGCAAAUAAUGUAAAUCUGUUGGGAAUUGAAAAUUUGUCAUCCAGAAGAAAGAUGUUUAAAGGCAGAUAAUUAAUUACCAGUCUCAUCUUACCUGUUACCUGUUCAGAUCUUUUGUUGACAUAGAAACCUUGGCAUGCCCACUGGGAAUCAGAUCUUUCAAUAAGACCAAAUUUCAAAAGUUCAACACAUUCUUGCUCAGCUAUUUUAGAAUCUUCAAGAUUCAUUCCUGAAUGACUAGCUUUUGUGGGAUUUACAUCCUCAUUCUUUUUAAAAGGAAAUCGGAUAUAAAAAUCAGAAUUUUCCCACAAUGGAUGGUCACAUUUUUGUAAGAACUCUUGAUGAUUUGAGGCACAAGAUUCUUUAAUGAUUUGAUCUUGAAAUUCUUUGAGUUGUUCUUCAAGAGAGAGUACCUCAUCCUGGAUCAUGUACAACUUUGGGAUUUCUAUGAAAUUUUUAAAAAACUUUUUGGACAUAAUUCCAUAAGGCAUAACAAGAUAUUGAUUUGUUCUGCAAAGAUCAAAACCAAGAAUGAGAUCCUUUCCAGUAAAAUUUGCUCCUAAAAACUUUGCUUUGACUUGACAAUCUGGAAGAAACUUAAUGGUGAUAGGAUCUUUGGGGAAAAAUCCACUUUUCAUCCUCAAACUUUGUGACGAAGACACAUUUGGUUCCCAAACUUUUCGUCAGAAUACAUUGAGUACAUGAAUUAACGAUUUUUUGCCACAUUUAGUCAAAAAACGGGAAUUUACUCAAUUUGGACGGUGAAGACCACGUGGCUGUUAACAAAUGUCCAAAUAUCAAUUUAUAGCCAACACAAGUCAGACACAAGUCCACACUUGACUCUCUCUCUAACCCACUGCUUUUCCUCUCCAAGUUUCCCCUUUGCCCACCGAGUUAAUGAAGUGAAAAGUUGCUUGAGAUUAGCAGAGUUAAUGGAGUUAUUCAACAAAGUUUUUCCAAUCCAGUAUAUGUAAUAUAAAUUAAAUAAUUCAGAGUAAAAUGCUCAUAAAUAGCUAUUACUUUGUUCGUGUAAUAGAGGAAACCCAUAAAGAACUGAUAUGUUAUGGGCAAUUUUUUUUUUACUUUCACUUAUUUAAUUUGUGUUAAAUACAAAACCUACUAGUUUUCUUUUCGUAAAAAUAUUAGUAUAUCACUUUUUAAAUUUUACUUACAAACAUUUAUGUAUUUAACAUAAAUUAUAUGAUUCAGAUUAAAAUGCCUAUAAAUAACUAGUACUUUAUUCAUAUAAUAGAAGAAACUCGUAAAGAGCUAGUAAAAAAUGGGUAUUUCUUUUUUUACUUUCACGUAUUUAAUUUAUGUUAAAUAUAAAAUCUACUAGUUUUGUUUUCGUAAUAAUAUUAGUGUAACACUUUUUGAAUUUCACUUAUCAACGUUUAUGUAUUUAAUAUAAAUUAAAUGAUUCAAAGUAAAAUGCUCAUAAAUAACUAGUACUUUAUUCAAAAAAUGGAAGAAACUCAUAAAGAACUGGUAUGUUAUGGACAAUUUUUUUUACUUUCAAAUAUUUCAUUUAUAUUAAAUACAAAACAUGCUAGUUUUUUUUUCGUAAAAAUAUUUGUGUAACGGCUUUUGAAUUUUAUUUGCAAAUAUUUAUGUAUUUAACAUAAAUUAAAUGAUUCAGAAUAAAAUGCCCAUAAAAACCUGGUACUUGGUUCAUGUAAUAGAGAAAAAUCAUAAAGAGUUGGUACUUUAGGGGAUAUUUCUUUUUUAAAAAAUAUUUAAUUUAUGUUAAAUAGAUAACCUACUAGUUUUUUUCGUAAGAAAUUACUGUAACACUUUUUGAAUUUUACUUAAAAAUAUUUAUAUAUUUAUUAUAAAUUGAAUGUUUGAGAGUAAAAUGUCCACAAAAGCUAGUAUUUUGAAUAGGUAAUGUCCAUUAAGUAAGAACUUAAAAUAAUACCAAAAUGGACAACUUGUUCAAGGAAUUGUGUAAUGUCCACAAAAAGCUGACUUGUGUUGGUUAUAAAUUGAUAUUUGAACAUUUGUUAACGGCCACGUGGUUUUCACCGUCCAAAUUGAGUAAAUUCCCAUUUUUUUGACUAAAUGUGACAAAAAAUCGUUAAUUCAUACACUCAAUGUGUUCUGACAAAAAGUUUAGGGACCAAAUGUGUCUUGGUCACAAAGUUUGAGGAUGAAAAGUGGAUUUUUCCCGGAUCUUUGGUUAUAAACUUUGUUUGAAAAAGCUCACCAUUAGCUACUCUAAAAUAAUGAAUUUCAUGAAUCCAACAUUCAUCAGGUAGAAUUUUUUUUUUCAUGAUUGACAAGGAUGCAUCUGAAUCAAAAAAAGCAAUUACAGGAAUUGAUUUGCAGUACUUAUCCAAAAGAAUAUGAACAAGGGUCUGAGGAUAAGUUUUCCCUAGUACUUCUUUACUAUUGGGGGAAAUAGUAAAGAUUUCAUCAGGAACUUGCAAAGCCAAAAGAGUAUGGUCAGUUUCAUUUUCUUGCUCAGAAAAUUCACAUUCUAAAUCAGAAACUGAAAUUUAAAUUCAUUCUUAAUUUCUGAAAUUAAUUUUACUCCCUUUUGAUUUUGAGGACAUUGUUUUGCAAAAUAUCCUGGCUUUCCACGGAUGUAACAUCUAUUGCCUUUUCUUUCUCUGAACUUCUUUUCCUUCCUUUUAAAAUAUUUCCAUCUUUUGCGGAAGGUUUUCUUGGGAUAACUUUUAUUGAAGCUUCUGAAUCUUUUGAAUUUUUUCCUUCUUUUGUGUGGAGCACAAGCUUGACAUUUCCCUUUUGUAAUCAAUUUUGACUUUUUACAAGAUUGAUCUAAGCAAACAUCUCCUUUUAUAUAUUCUCUGAUAACUUUUCUUUUAUUGCAAAGAUCAUUCAGAGAUAAGAGAACUGCCUGCUUAAUUUGUCCUGUAGACAAAUUUUAGAUGGAUCCAUAUUUAUUAUGGAUGUACAUUUCAGCUCCAUCAGUAAGAGAUUUUGGAAUUGAGCUUACAAAAGUUUGUUUAAGAUAAAUAUCUGCACCAAGAGCAAAAAAUAGUUUAGUCGUCUUCUUGAAAUGUUUAUUAAUAUCUCUACUAUCAUAAGAGAAACAUUUCAUUUAAAAGAUUUCUUUUCUCUUUGUCUCCUUGCUCUCCUUUACAUCUCUUAUGAACUUCAAGUGCAGUAUAUUGAUGUUUUCAAAAAAGUCUUGACGGGUCAAGAAAUACAUCUUAUCUUGAUCACCAAGGCUUGCCCACCAAUCUUUAAGAAUUCCUGAAAAAUGAGCAGUAAAGUCAAACAAAAUUUCAAAAUGAGAUUAUUCAGUAAUAUUUUGCACAAUCAUCGAGGCAUGAAAAUACUAAAAUCUUGCUUCCCAUUUUUCAGAUGGGAUAUCAUCAAUAGUAAAAGUUUGAACUCCCUUUGAUUUUGGAAAAGUGGUCCAUUGAGUUCUAGAAGCAUUUGAUGUUUCUCCUUCACCAUCUUCCUCAUCAUCAAGAUGUACAACUUUAGCUUCAGUAGCCAUAUUUAUGAUCGAAAUUUCUUCUUCUUCAGAAGAUGUCACUUCCUCAGAUGAUUCUAAGAUUUGAUUUUCAUUUGAUUCAGAUUCUGAAUUUGUUGUAUUAGAAUUUUCUGAGUUAUGUGUCAUCUGGUCAUAAAUAGAAGGGCAAAAAACCUGGGCGGCCAUUAAACUUUUCUCAACAUCAUGUUUUGACCAUCGAACUAUUUUUUGUCAAUUAUUGACCACUAAACAACUUAAUCAGUCCACCCGUGCCCAUUUCGUCGGUAAUGGCUGUUAAUUUCUGAAAUUAGCAUUACACGCGGCAAAUCACAGGGGCAAUUUUGUCCGUCAAUCCACUGACCGUUCCCUUACAUUAGUACAUCAACUGAAAAGAAAAAAAGAGCGGUAGAAACAAGCCAAUCAAACAAACUGAAGUUCUCAAAAUCGUUGUAGGAAGAUCGAAGAGAAGGGUUUUGAAGAUCGAAGAGAAGGGAAAAUCGUGGUGAAUCUAUGGAGUGGAUCAUCAGGAGAAGAGACGUCGACAUUGAUCCAUAUGAAAUUUACGGUAAGUUAUUUUUCGGAGAAAAUCAUGUGAAUGAACUGAAACUAUACUUUAAACUAAAUUUAAUGGGUGUAUUACUCAAGUUUGUGUCUGAAAUUGAAGGUGCUUAUUUGUGGGUUGUGAAUAUGUAGCAGCAUUAUGGGGUUUAAAUGUUAGGGUUUUCAUCCAACUGCCGGUUGUAAAAGUGGAAUAUUUUGAAAUAAACAAGUUUUUUUUUCAGCCUUGUUUUUUCAAAUGAAGUGAUUCCUUUUUUUUUUCCCAUUUCAUUGCAGUGCCUAAUUCUGAACUAUUCAGUAUUAGAAUGUUUCAUGGUGGUAGAUUUAGUGGGCGUCAGUAUAAAACAUACGUUGGUGGUGAAAUAGAUUAUGUUGAUGCAUGUGAUGCGGAGAGAAUGUCUGUCCAUGAGAUAAAUGAGAUGGUUCAGGAUUUAGGACAUAAUGGUACAAUGCUUUACUAUUACUUAGAACCUGGGAGUGAUUUGAAUAAGGGAUUAAGAGAGUUACAAGGAGAUGCAGAUAUAGUGGCAAUGUGCAAAUGGGCGUACGAGCACAAACUGAUAGAUGUUUAUUGUGACCAUAGGCCUUUACAUGAAAUUCUUGACAUCCAGUCACAUUCCCCACUGUUAGGUAGUAAGAAAAAAACAGGGGUUGUAAUUGAAGAAAUUGAUGAACAUGGUAGAGUAGUUGUAGAUGAACAUGGCAGUGGAGUUGUAGAACUUGAUAAACAAUUGGUGGUUAGAAAAAACCUGUUUGGUAGCUCUUUUGUUAGUACAAAUAUGACUGCCCCUGGAGCAGCAAUGGGAGGUACAAGUAGAGGUGAAGGUGUAAGAGUAAGUGUUGUCAUUGAGGGAGAAGCUAGUGGGACUGGUGUAAAGAGUAGGAGUCAAGGAGAUAAAACUGAUGUGAAUGCAAGGGCAGGUGAAGAAGAUAAUAAAGAUGACAGCAGCUCAGAAGGGGAGCAUUUCACUGAUGACGAAGAGUUUUGCAAAGAUGAUCAAAUGCUUGGGAGUGAGAAACCAACUCCCACAGUUGAAAUAUCCCCUCCUGUUAUGAGGAGAACUACUGAAUCUAUACUCCAUGAGAGCCAAGAUGUAAAUGGCUUGGAAAGUGGUACACAUGGAGAUGGUCAACAUGAUGUCCAAGCUGAAAAACAAUCACAGGCAACUGAAGGAUCAUCUGGUGGCAGUAAGAGAGCAAAGAAAAAGUAUCCUAGAAAAACAACAAGAGGAAAAAGAAAGAGAUCAGCAAGAAGGGAGAAGACAUCAUCAGCACAGGCUGUUAAUAACACAUCAUCACAGGAAGCUACUGAGGAAAUGGAAGAAGCUGCUGAUGAAGAUGUGUUGCAUGACAACAUGAUGGAGGAUGACCUGCAUAGCAUUGAUGGUUCUUCUGAUGAAGAUGAUGAAGUGCAGAAGGGAAUCAAAUAUGUUGACUUCAAUGCUGAAAAGGACAUGAGAAAUCCACAUUUCCAGGUUGGGAUGCGAUUUGCAUCAUCAGCUGAGUUUAAGGCCGCAAUGCAGAAUUAUUCUAUUGCUAAUGGUAAACCUGUUUGGUACUACACUAAUGAGGAAUUGAGAGUAAGAGUAAGGUGCAAGGAUCCAUGCAACUAGGAGUGUUAUGCUUCUCAAGAGAAAGCAAUUGGGCCGAAUGAUUUGGUGAUUAAGACCCUUUAUGAUGUACACUCAAACUGCAGUCAUGCCUGGAAAAAUAAAAUGAUGACUGCUAAAUGGGUUGCUGAGAGAUAUGAGGACAAAAUUAGGGCCAAUAUGAACAUUCCAGUCCAUGCUUUAAGGCAGACAGUGCAUGAGGAGUACAAGAUACAAAUAUCGAAAACAAUAGCCAGAAAUGCUAGAGGUAUAGCUGUUGACAGAAUCAAAGGUUGUGCAGUCGAACAGUAUAAGCAUAUAUGGGAAUAUUGUGAGGAGAUUAAGAAGACUCAUACUAAUUCUACCAUGGUGGUCGAGUUCACUCCAUUUAGAGAUCCAGGUUCGAAUCCUAGGUUCAUGAGACUAUACUGUUGUUUAGGUGCACUAAAAGAAGGAUUCAAAAUGUGUAGACCUGUGAUUGGACUUGAUGGCUGCCAUAUAAAAGGGCCUUACCCUGGUCAACUGUUAUCAGCAGUGGCAGUUGAUCCCAACAAUGGUUGGUGGCCUAUUGCUUGGGCCAUAGUGGAGAAGGAAGCUACAAUACAGUGGAAAUGGUUCUUACAACUUCUCCAAGCAGAUCUGGAAAUAGAUAAUCAGUGUCACUACACUUUCAUCUCUGAUCAACAAAAGGUAUGGAUCUUAUUAUCCAACAUUUGAUGUGAGACUUGUGGCUGCUUGAACCAAUAAUUCAUUUGUUUUUGUGCAGGGAUUGGACAGAGCAUUAUCCGAGGUGCUACCCAACUCUGAGCAUAGAUAUUGUGUGCAGCAUAUGUAUCAAAAUUUCAAGAAGAAACAUCCUGGAAAGGCACUUAAAGGGAUGCUGUGGGCGAUAGCUAGGAGCAGCACAAUUGAGAUGUACAAGAAAGCUGUUGAGGACUUGAAAGAGUAUGACAAUGAAGCAUACAAGUGGGUGGAGAAGGCUCCUCAUCCGAUGCAUUGGUGUAAGGCUUACUUUUCUCCUCACACUAAAUGUGACAUGAUUGUCAAUAAUCUGUGCGAAUCUUUCAAUUCACAUAUACUAGAGGCCAGGGAUAAACCAAUUAUAUCUUGCUUGGAGAAUAUUAGAGAACUGAUGAUGGAAAGAAUUCAAAAAAGAAAGGCUGCCAUGACUAGAUAUCCACACUCAACUGGUCCUCUGAUCAGAAAAAUUGUUGAGGACAGAAUUGAAGAAUCUUUCCAGUGGUUCCCACAGUUCAAUGGGAUUGAUGGUUAUCAGGUAAAAGGUCCAAGAAAUUCCCAGUUUGCUGUGAAUUUGAGAAUGAAGAGUUGCACUUGUCGAAUCUGGGAAUUAUCUGGCUUACCUUGUACCCAUGCCAUUGCAGCAAUAAAGCAAACUGAGGAUGAUCCACAUGAAAUGAUUGUGGAAUAUUACUACAAGAGCUUAUUUUUACAGAUUUAUAAUAAUGUCUUACAACCCAUCAGCAGCCAAGUACUGUGGCCUGAGUCCAGCAUGCUUCAACUUGAUCCUCCAAUUCCCACUGUCCAGCCUGGGAGGCUAAAAAAGGCAAGGAGAAGAGAUGAGACAGAAGGGAAGAACCAUGGAAGAAAACUUAGAAAAAAUGUCACUAUGCAUUGCAGAAAAUGUGGUAAAACAGGGCACAAUGCUGCAACAUGCAAAGAGGUGACUGAGCACCAACAAUCUGGCCAGCCAAAGAAGAAAAAACAUGUGAGUAUACAUACAGUUCAAUGUAUUUCAAAUGUCAUAUAGUAUACAUACAUAUAGUCUCUAAUCAACUGGCAUUUGUAUAAGGUUUCUAGAAGAAAACAGCAAGCAAAAGUAGUCCAGUCACAAGGUAUAGAGACCCAAGGGCUACAGCAACAGGAAACUCCAUUAGCUAGCCAACCAAGCCAACCAAUCGCAUCUGCAACUCAGCAAUCAGAUCUAAUGUCCCAACACCCAACUCCACCACUUCAACAGCCAAUACCAGUAGUUCAGCAACCAGAUCCAGCAGCUACAAGUUCUAGAUCUGGCAUGAAAUUCAACAGAAAUGGUAAACGGCCCUUGACUGAUGCUGACAAAGGGAUGAUUAAUGCUAAUUAUGCCUACUUGGGAAAGGAACCACCCUUCAAGGUUGGUAGGUGGAGAGGUAGAAGAGGUGCAAAUGCUGGUAGAUCUAGAUCUAGAUCUACAAGAGGCAGAAGUGCAGGUGCAAGUUAGAUGGAAUUGGAUACAGUUUUAGAUGUGAUCCGAGAUGUUGAUGAUGGUGACUGAUAUGUACAUAAGUCUUUUGACUUAUAAUAGUUUAUUUAAGUUGAUGGGAUCCACUUCAUGUUGAUAGUGGACGGCUUUUGUUUUGUUAUGGUGGAUGCCUUUUGUUUUUCAUCCACUAUCUUUUUGCUUAUUCAACAGAAAGCUGUGUAUUUUUGCAAAUUGGAAACUUUUCUAGUUGGUUUUAUCUAAUGGAAAUGGUCCUUUUGUCUUAAUUUUCUGUGUUAUAAUGCCGCAUUCAUCAGAAACUACAAAAAACUUGCAUCCAUUCAUUCAGUAAAAAGUAACACAAUUACAGUAGGGAUUCCAUUACAUAAGAAAGCAAACCAAUGAAAAAAUCACUACAAAAUACAACAUGGGAAUCUUUGGUCUGCUAUUGCUACGGACACUACCACCAAAAGCUGUCUCCACUCAACCUUACUACUCUCAUUUCAUCACAAUCACCCAACAACAUUAACUAUCCCUUGAUGGCCAACAUAUGGUCACUCUUAAUAACAGUCUUCAGAUAGCAGCAAAAACAAUACAGCAAUAGAAAUGCCCAUGUACCGAGAAGAGCUCUUUUGAGAUAGUGCUCUCUGGUCUUGUACUUUUUCACUUCACCCUCCAAUUUUGCAACUUUAAGUUCCAAUUUUUGAGCUUUAUUUUCCCAUCUUCUUGCUGAAGUUUCUAAUUCCUCCAUAUUACUUUCCAUUCUAUUCAUUCUUCGCAGCAAACCAGGAAUCACUUGAGUUGAUUUUUCGCACAUUGUUGGAUCAUACCAUUCCCAAAAACCACAUCCCUCAUCCUGCAAUUUACAUUUUCCAAGACUAAAUCCUCUUGUUAUAACAUUUCCAUUACAAAUCUAACAUCUUACCUCUCUAAGAUCUUACCUCUCCUAAAGUGCAGACCACAAAUCUUCUUGCUGGGUUCCAAUUUGUCCAUGAGGUCUUCACCAUUGCUGUUAAUCCGCAGGAGCAUCUAGGUAUGGGUUUAGGAGAGCGUCUCGACAUUCUUUGGCUUCUUCAAUUUCUGACACAGGAUUUAGGGCUGGAAAUUGAGUCCCAAUUGUUUCCUCCACAAGACCAGACACUUCAGUUUGUUUGAUUGGCUUGUUUCUACCGCUCUUUUUUUCUUUUCAGUUGAUGUAUUAAUGUAAGGGAACGGUCAGUGGAUUGACGGACAAAAUUGCCCCUGUGGUUUGCCGCGUGUAAUGCUAAUUUCAGAAAUUAACAGCCAUUACCGACGAAAUGGGCACGGGUGGACUGAUUAAGUUGUUUAGUGGUCAAUAAUUGACAAAAAAUAGUUCGAUGGUCAAAACAUGAUGUUGAGAAAAGUUUAAUGGCCGCCCAAGUUUUUUGCCCUAAAUAGAAAUGUAUGGUACUGACUCAUCAUGCAAUUCUUGGAGCAUAGAUGAUAAAGGAUUGUCAUAGACUUUUAUAGUCUUUCCUGCUUCCUUUUCCUGCUCAAGAGAAAAUAUAGGGUUAGUAUGUAUUUUAGUAUACAUCAAUGAACUUUCUGGUUCUUGAACAGCUUCCUUUUCCUUUCUUUUUCACCCUUCUUCCUUUCUCUUUCUUCAUCCUUUUGUUUUUGCUUAUUCUUACGAUAUUCUCGUAAUACUUUAACAAUAUCAAAAGCAGGAGGAGUCUGCUCUUGUUGACUAGGAAAGAAGACAGAAGGAUUUGGUGUAGCUACACCACCAAAGUAAAAAGGAGUAGGCCAAUUUUUGAUAGAAGUAGUAUCAAAUCCUGGACUUACCUUGGGUGCGGUUGGUUCAAAUAGUCAAACAUCAAAUUUAGGGACCUCACCUGUAGUUUUGAGAGUUUCAAUUUGAUUUUUAAUAAAGCGAGUUUUCUUUUCCUGAUUCAAAACAAAGUUAGCUAAAGAUGAAGAAUGUGAAAGCAAUUCAUAUUUCAAAUUUUCUAGCGUUUUUUCAAGAACUUCAAUCAUAUGAGAUACCUAAGAGUUUUGAGUUUUAACAGCAGUAUCAACAUGAUCAAUUUUCCCUUUUACCUCAGUCACAUUCUUAUGGAUGGAAUUAAGAGCAGUAUUCUGAACUAAGGAGUUUUCAGUUUGCCAAUUCAUAAUUUCUUCAAUAGGACUGGAUCUAACAGUUUCUCCUGUUGGGAGAACUGUAGGAUGAGCAUUCUAAACUAUUGGCACAUGUCUAGAACCAUUUUUGAUAAAAGGUUCUAGUUUGGGGAAAUCUUCUUCAUUAAACAUGAAAACUUGUUGAAGUGAUUCCUCAGGUUUUUGGUACAGGCAUCUUGAUGGCUGUACGGAUUAAAUGGGUUUUUGAACUGGUUUCCAUAUUUCUUUUCUUUUUGAUUUCAUUUUUCAAGAUAGCCAAACACUUCUGAUGGUAUGGAUGGAGUUUCUGCUUGGGAGUCUGUGAUUCCUUGGAAAUCUAAGAUGACGGAAUUUGAUAUCCGUCAAAGUCACUUCUUUUUGACAUGAAGUUGUCAGUAUUAAGGUCUUGUGGUUCAAGAUCUGAUUUACAGAGUCUUUUCUCACAUGACUUUGUCUUUUUCUUCUCUUUUGAAAGUAAUGGAUAAUUAUCACUAAAAUGAUGUUCCCACCAACAGUCAUCACACUUAGUACAUACAUAAAAAUAAAUAUGUCCAAAAAUAAGAUUCUGAAAAUGAUAUACUAGUUCACUUUCCUUAGUGAAAUGAGCAAUAAUAUCUUGGGCAAAAUCUUUUUCUCAGUUUUCAUCAUAUCUUUCAAGAACUAUUUCUUUUUCAGUUGGUGUCUCCAUGUAAACCUGUGCAAGCAUCAUAGUAGGAUAAGAUUUUUUUUUUUUAAUUUGGCUUUAAAUGGAAAUGAUUAAAAGUAAUUGAAAUUCUCCCUUCUUGUGUCUGAGAGAUUUUUGAGUUUCAAAACUCAAUAGGUUCAUUUGCUUGAGAAUGCAGGGACUCAUAAUCAGUAAUCCAAUUAUCUGGCAAUAAUUGAAUUAAUUCUGAUUUUAAAAUUUGUCUUGGCAUAUGGGUGCAAGAGACUGAAUUCUUCUAAUUAAUACGAAUAAAAAGAGCAUCUUCUUCACCAGGAAUUGUGAGAUCCAGAGUAUGAUUUUGGACACGAUAAACCAUUUGAUAGUGGAGGAUUGCAACAAUAGCAUCUGUCACUUAGUCUGCUCUUAUGAUUUGUACCUGGACAGAGACAUGAAAAUUGGGUAAAAGAGUCACAAAAAUAAUUCCAACAUUUAGAGUAGUUUCUACGAUUGCUAUACAAGUAUGCUGGUAUUUUGUGAAUCUGGUGUCAAGCAAGGCUAUGCGAGCCACCAUUGGUAGCCCCUUUCUACCAUGAAAGGAUAAAGAGAAUCUAAUUGUACCAAAGUGAAUAUGAGUAAAUCCCUAUUGCUUCCAUUGAGAAAAAAAUUUUGGAGGAAUAUAGAGUGUAAUGAACUGUUCUUUUUAGUAGCAAGGAUAGGAUGUUGAUCCACUUUUGAAACCUGAAUAUAUUCUUUUACGCCCUUGAAAUGGUGCUUGAUCAAAGAUUUGAUAGUCCUGAUAGGUGAGAAUUGUUUGUUUAUCAAAUGCAGUAUAUGAAUUAAUAACAGACAAAGAGAUAAGAUUAACCAACUCUAGUUCAACGACACUUCAUACAAAUAAUCUAAUUUAUUACUAUUAGUUCUAUUUAAUACAAGUUCACUGGAAGUAGAAGCACUCAUUUUAGAAGUAGAAGAACUCAUAUUUUUAAUUUAUUAAAAUCUUUCUCACUAUUUAUCUUAUAAAUACGAUACUAUGUAAGAUAUAUAUAUACACGCCUUCUAACUAUCUGGUAUGAUUUAAUAUGCAAAUAAUCUAGUAAAUUAAAAAUUUUUAACUCAAAUAGUCUAAUAUAAUCUAUACAUUCUUGCUUAUUAUAAUAUUCAAACAUAAAAUAUGGAGAAUCUCUACAAAUAUCAUUAAAGACAUAAUUAUACCAAUCUCCUGAAUAUGGAUCAAAGUGAUGCCAUAAACCUAAUAAAAAGUAUAGAAAGAAAUUUUAAGAAUAAAAUUUUUUCUUUAUAUUUGACUCUGAUACCAAAUUCAGAUAGCCAACUCUAAAUUUUGAAAGUAUUCUCAAACACAACAGCUUCUCUUUUUUGGGCUUUCAAAAGUUCAAGGGAAUUUUAUCACAAGAUCAGAGUGAUUACUUUCAUAAGGAUCUCGGCCUUUCUAAAGAGAAAAUAAGAAGUUUAAGCUGCCAUAACCUUGAGAAAUUGCUAGAAAUUUUAUUGGGUUUUCUCAAUCUUUUCUUCGAUGAUCUUCCUAAAUGGUAAGAGUCAUCUAUUUAUACAAACUAAAGUGAUCUUUCAGAUACUUGACCUUUCAGAAAUCAUAUAGUAAAAUGACUCUCGGUGAAAGGUAAUAGACAACCUUCCAAGGACUCAAAAAAUAAACAACCUUUCAGAAAAAUAAAAGACAAAUGACCCUUUAGAAAAGUAAAGGUUACAGACAACCUUUAUUGUUGGAACCUAUUAUUGUCUAACUAUUCCAAAUCCACUGGUAGUCUUCAUCAGGGGUAUCCGAGGAAGUGGUAUCAGGAUCAGUGAUGUACAACUCAAUAUGAUACUCAUGUGCUUCUUGAUUUUUCCUUUUAUUCAACUGUUUUUUUUUCUUCUGAUCUUGUUUAUGAACAUAAAAAGAUGAAUAUGGUCCAGCUUCUUAUUGCCUUGUCUCAUAUGGAUCCUGAAAAUCUUGCAUUACAGUGUUAUGCAUUUUAUCUUGAUAUUGUUUCUUGGCCAUUUUAACUUUAGUCCAAUGAAGAUGACUAGUUUCUUAGUUCCAUGAACCAUAAUGUCUUUUGGCCAAAUCUCAGGUGAAAUGUAUCUAUUUUUCUAAAAUAUAUAUCUGUGAACUUCCUCAUAUUCAUAGUCAAGAUCUAAAAUAGUAUGAGACAUUUCUUUAUAAAUGACCACACUUAGAAGGGACUGAAACUGGUUGUUUAUCAGAUGACAAGCUCUAUGGAAAUGAAAAAUAACACAUUUUGGAUUGGUUGAAAAUAAUUUAAACCAAAAUGUUAAUGGUCGAAACCAUUACAGGAAAACUUGGAUGCUUGGAUUUAAUGGUUGAUUGAAGAAUGGACUCUAAAAUUCCAUUAAAUAUGAUAUUAAUGGUAUAGACAUCAAAAAUACUAUAACAGUGGUUUUGAAAAAUUAUAAGGGUUGGCUAUGCAUAUUUGACAGAAUGGAUAUUGGCUAAUUGCUUUGAAUAUUGCAACAAAAAAAAAAAGUCGAAACAAUGUUGCUCUGACAAUAUGGCAGUAUAAAACUAUACCUACCAGGCUGAGUCAGCCCGGUAGGCAAAAAAAUUCUUUUUUUUUUAAAGGUUUGGCUGCCGGACUGACUUGCCCGGCAGCCACUCAAUCAGUCCGGUAGCCACUGAAAAUUUGUUAAGAAAAGCUGCAGGCCGUCAGACAGCCUGCAGCUUAACUUUUUUUUUUUUCUAAAAACUUGCAGCUUGCUUUUUUAAAAAAUAAAAAUAAAAACUUAUGCUAUCGGCCUUCAAGCCCGGUUGCCUUUGCGGUUAAUUCUUUUUUUUUUUUUUAAGUUCAAACGUAAGAAAAAGGUCAAGAUAAAUUUGCUAAAUCAAUUAUUUUUAUCCCUAAAAAAAGUUUUUAGAUAAAAAAAUCUCAUUCAAUUUACAAGAAGAUGCAUUUCCCAAAUGUUUGCAAAAUAAUCGUUGAAAUUAUUAUGUAUAAGAUUUGGUUUUAUAUUUUUUAUAAAAUCUAUAAAAAAUUAAUAUUUACUUAAAUAAAAUAUAUAAAUAAAUUAUUAUUUGGCAGUGGGUUGUUAUAAGAAUAAAGGUAAAAAUAAAUAUAAUAAUGAGUAGUUAAGUAUAAAAGUAAUUUUUAAUGUAAACUAUAAUUUUAUAAAUAUAAAAUUAUUGUGCAAUAUAAAAAUGAAAAGGCAAACAAUAGAAAAGAAGAAAAUUUUGAUAAUGUGAAAUGGUGAAAUGAUGAAAUUUAAAAGUAAUGAUACUCGUUCAAAUAAUAGAAGUUUAAAAUAAUGCUAAAUAGCAUAUUGAAAUGUGAAAACUCAAAGAUCUCAUGUUCAGAAUUCAUGCACAAUAAAUGCACAUGCAAAUUAUAGAUUAGACACAAAAUUAUAUCAACAAUUUAUUUUAUCCAAACACAUAUUGAAAUCCUUGAAUUAGAUCGUUCAAGUCAAUUAAGAGUCUGGCUAAUAGAUCUUCAUGGCACAAAAUGGUAGACUCUGUUGCUUUUGUUAUCAGAAAAUAUGACAAAUAAAUAAUUUGAUAAUUUACACAAUAAAGAUACAUCAAAUAAAUUGAUCCUCAUACGACAAGAUCAGCCAAAGCAAAACUUGCAUUAUUCCAUCCGGGGAAAAAAAAGAAACGAAAAGGAAAGGAGCAAGUGAACCCCAUUGACCAAAAAGAGAUUCCCUUGCAGCUUUUUGGGCUAAUGGUGCAGGCGAACCCCAAUUAAAGCCUACAAAAGUUUUUAAUUAAAAAAAAAGAAAUUUAAGCUGGCUGCUGGCUGCUGGCCUGCAAUUUAAAAAAAAAUUAAGUUGCAGGCUGUCAACCAACUAAAUAUUGUUAAGUACUUUUAAGUACUAUUAUAUUUAUUUUUACCGUUAUUUUUAUAACAACCCACUGCCAAAUAAUAUUUUAUUUGUAUAUUUUAUUUAAAUAUAUAUCAAUUUUCUAUAUAUUUUAUAAAAAAAAUAUAAAACCAAAUCUUAUACAUAAUAAUUUCAACGAUUAUUUUUCAAACAUUUAGGAAAUGCAUCUUCUUGUAAAUUGAAUGAGAUUUUUUUUUAUCUAAAAACUUUUUUUAGGGAUAAAAAUAAUUGAUUUAGCAAAUUUAUCUUAGCCUUUUUCUUAUGUUUAAACUUAAAAAAAAAAUUAACUACAAAGGCAACCGAGCUUCAAGGCCGAUAGCAUAAGUUUUUAAUUUUUUUAAAAAAAAAGAGUAAGCUACAAGCUCGGCAGCCUGCAUGUUUUAAAAAAAAAGGGUUAAGCUGCAGGCUGUCUGACAGCCUACAGCUUUUCUUAACAAAUUUUCAGUGGCUGCCGGGCAAGUUAGCCCUGCAGCCAAACCUUUUAAAAAAAAAAAAGGAAUUCUCGUCUACCAGGUUGAGUCAGCCUGGUAGGCAUAGUUUUAUACUGUCAAAUUGUCAGAACAACAUUGUUCCAAUUAUUUUUUUUGGCAAUAAUCAGAGCAAUUAGCCAUGAAUAUUCAGGAUUUGUACCAAAGAAAUUUAAGAUUGAUCCGCCAUAUGAACUAAAGACUUCUAGUUCAUACUGAUUUCAGAUUUUUUCAAGAUCUUCUUUUCCAAUAGAUAAGGUAUUUCAUGAAUAUCUGGGAGUUCUAAACAGACAGGUGUAAACAUGAAACAAGUUGAUAUUUCCUAUGGGUGAGUGGAAAAUUUUGGCUCAGUUGAUUCUUUUCUCGAGAAGAAAUCUGCUACAACAUUUUUUUUCCCUUUAAUGUUUUUAUAUCAAAGGAAUAUUGAAAAAAUCAGGCUGGCCAACGGAGUAGUUGAUGAUGAGGGAUGAUUUUUUGUUUAAAGUGCAGCAUCUUAGGAAGUGAUCCCAUAUCUAUUUCAACCAAGAAAUGAUGAGAAAGAAAGAGAAUUUUUUAAUUCCAUUUCUUACUGUAAGUAUCUCCUUGAAAGUGGAAUGCUAAUGUUGCUCUGAAGCUUUGAACUUUCCACUUGCAAAUCCACAUCAAUGCCUUUGUCCCUGUUUAUCUUCUUCAAGUAAGAUUGCUCCCCAAUAUUUAUCACUAGGAUCAAUCUGUAAGAUCUUCUUUCCAUCAGAGGGAAUGUGUUAGGACCGGCCCAAGAAUAGACAAACUAAAGUUAGCACAAAUUAGGCGGUAUAACCGACCAUAUAAAAAUUAGACGGUAGACACCAACCAUAUAAUAAUUAGACGGUAAAACUGGCCAUAUAAAAGGGUUAUGAUAACCCAAUAAAGACAAAUAAUAAAGCAAAUAAAAAGACACAGAAGAUUUACGUGGUUCGGUCAAAUUGAUCUACGUCUACGGGCGAGAGAUGAGCAAUAUUUCUACUAUGAAGAAGAAAUACAAAAGCCGUAGGAAAGUGAUUCCUAAGCCAAUAAGGCACUUAUACAAGGUUUAGGAAAUUUUCUAAACACAAAACAAGAGAGUCUUAAAUAUUUGACUAAAUGGGUUAGAUGACUCAAGAAGCUAAUAGCCCAUAUAACUCUCUUGAGUGGUGCAAUCAAUUCCUUCAUAAGGCUCCCUUAUUUAUAGGAAACCAAAGGAAUUCCUUCAUAAGGCUCCCUUAUUUAUAGGAAACCAAAGAAAGAAUUCCUUUGGCUUCUACCGAUGUGAGACGAAGCACCAAAAGCAUUUGGUCAACAAAUGCGGCUUCAACAAAUCUCCACCUUGAUGAGUCCCCAACAUCGAGAGAUUAUAAACUUGCUCCACCUUCUCCAUAUAAGCCCCAAAUAGCCUUGGCCGAAGUCUCCGUUGCUACCUCACACAAUACCUCAUCGGAGAGAUUUAAGAUUAUGCUGAAUCUGGCCUUUUUAUCCAUAUCGGCGAAAUCCGCAUCCUUUACAUCUUCUGGCAUUUUCUCAAUUCCUUGAAUUACCAAGUCAACUUCGUCUUGAACAAGAAUGGCCUCCAUCUUGAGCUGCCACAUGCCGAAGUUGACAUUUCUGUCGAAUUUUUCGACAACCGUCUUUGUUAUCGUCAUUGUUGUCACAAAAUCUAUAACUUGAAGUUUGUCUCAAAAAACUGGUCAAAAUAUGCAAGUCUCGUGAGUGGGUCCCACAGGGUGAGCGGGCCCCACCCGAUGAACGAACCCCACAAGGUGAGCGGGCCCCAUUUGUUGAAGCCGCAUUUGUUGACCAAAUGCUUUUGGUGUUUCAUCCCACAUCGAUAGAAGCCAAAGGAAUUCUUCCUUUGGUUUCCUAUAAAUAAGGUGCCUUAUAAAGGAAUCGAUUGCACCACUCAAGAGAAUUAUAUGUAGGGGUGUAUUCGAGUCGAGUCGAGCUCGAGUAUAAUAUAAUUAUACUCGAGUAUAAUAUAAUUAUACUCGAGCUCGAUCGAAUCGGAGAAUCACAGCUCGAGCUCGAUCGAGUCCUUAAAAAGCUCGAGCUCGACUCGAUAAGGGUACUCACCCGUAAUUUCUCAAAAUUUAUUUACCUAUAUUAGUAAUUUUAUAUAUAAUUUUUUUUAAUUUUUUUAUGUGAUACUCGAUAGAGCUCGUUGAGCUCUCGAGUAUUAAAUUUCUGAGUUCGAGCUCGACUCGAUAGCUCUAACGAGCAGCUUGAGAUCGAGCUCGAGCUUCUGAUCAAGUACAUAUCGAGCUCGAGUCCAGUAGAUUGACUCAACUCCACCCCUAGUUAUAUGGGCUAUUAGUUUCUUGAGUCAUCUAACCCAUUUAGUCAAAUAUUUAAAACUCUCUUGUUUUGUGUUUAGGAAUAUUUCCUAAACCUUGUAUAAGUGCCUUAUUGAUUUAUGAACCACUUUCCUAUGGUUUUGAAUUUCUUUUUCAUAAUAGAAAUAUUGCUCCUCCCUCACCCGUGGACGUAGAUCAAUUUGAUCGAAUCAUGUAAAUCUUCUGUGUCUUUUUAUUUGCUUUAUUAUUUGUCUUUAUUGGGUUGUCAUAACCCUUUUAUAUGGUCGGUUUUACCGCCUAAUUAUUAUAUGAUUGAUGUCUACCGCCUAAUCUUUAUAUGGUCGGUUAUACCGCCUAAUUUGUGUUAACUUUAGUUUGUCUAUUCCUGGGCCGAUCCUAACAGAAUGUACAAGAUUGGAAGACGAAAAAAUUCUUUCUUAAGAUUUUGGAUUGAUCGGGUUUGAGAUGAACCCCAUAGGAUGGUUUUUUCUAAAGCAUUUUAGUCAAGGGACUGAUAUGCUUGGCUGUCUUUGGAAUGAAUUCUCGGACAUAAUUAACAACUCUAAGAAACUGUUGAACUUGUAUUUUUGACAAAUCUUUUUUAGGAAAAUUUGUAAUUGAUUGUCCAACAUGCUGCUCAGUAGUACAUUUUCCUUCAGAAAUUUUCAUUCCAAGAAAUUGAAUUUCUUGUUUUUCCAAAAUCAUUUUCUUUUUAGAAAUCAUGAUACCAUAUUGUUUAACAAUAUUAUGAAAAUCAUUACGCAAUUGAAUGUGUUCUUCCCAAGUGUUACUGAAAAGAAGAAUGUCAUCAAUAUACACCAAUGCAAUGUGAAGAAUAGGCUGAAAAAUUUUUAUCAUGGCCUUUUGAAAAAGUGAAGGUGCCGUCUUUAGGCCACAGGGCAUCACUUUUCACUGGAAAAAGAAGAUCUUAAAAGAAUCCGAAACCAAUAUGAACUAAAAGUAUUUAGUUCAUAUGACGGAUCAAUCUUAAGUUCCUUUGGUAAAAAUCAUGAAUACCCAUUCUGUCAAAUUUUCAUAGCCAACUCAUGAUUUUUCAAAACCACUAUUAUGGUAUUUUUGGUGUCUAUGCCAUCAAUAUCAUAUUUUAAUGAAAUUUCAGAGUUCAUUCUUCAAUCAACCAUUAAAUCCAAACCUCCAAGUUUUCCUGCAAUUGUUUCAACCAUAAACAUUUUGGUCUGGAUUAUUUUCAACCAACUCAAAAUAUGUUAUUUUCCAUUUUCAUAGAUCUUAUCAUCUGAUAAACAACCAGUUUUAAUCCCUUUCAAGUGUGGUCCAUUUAUAAAAAAAUAUCUCAUACUAUUUUAGACCUUAAAUAUGAAUAUGAAGAAAUUCAGAGAUAUAUAUUCUAGGAAAACGAUGCACUCCACCUGAGAUUUGGCCAGGACAUUAUGGUCCUUGAAACUAUGAAACUAGUCAUCCUUAUUGGACUAAAGUUAAAAAGACCAAGAAACAAUAUCAAGAUAAAAUGCAUGACACUAUAAUGCAAGAUUCUCAGGAUCCAUAUGAGAUAAGUCAAAUAGAAGUUGGACCCUCUUCAUCUUCUUAUAUUCAUAAAACAAGAUCAAAAGAAAAAAAAAACAAUUGAAUAAAACGAAAAAUCGAGAAGCACAUGAGUUGAGCUGUACAAUAUCACUGAUCCUGACACCACUCCUUCGAAUACCCCUGAUGAAAACUACCAGUGGAUUUGGGAUGUUUAGACAAUAAUAGGUUCCAAUAAUAAGGGUUGUCUGUAACUUUAUCCGUAACAUUUACUUUUCUAAAAGGUCAUUUGUCUUUUAUUUUUCUGAAAGGUUGUUUGUCUUUUGAGUUCUUGAAAGGUUGUCUAUUACUUUUCACCAAUAGUAAUUUUACUAUUUGAUUUCUAAAAGGUCAAGUGUCCAAAAGAUCACUUUAAUUUGUAUAAAUAGAUGACUCUUACCAUUUUGAAGGAUCAUCGAAGAAAAGAUUGAGAAACCCAAUAAAAUUUCUAACAAUUUCCCAAAGUUAUGGCGGUUUAAACUUCUUAUUUUCCCUUUAAGAAGACCGAGAUCCUUAUGAAGGUAAUCACUCUGAUCUUGUGAUAAAAGUCCCUUAAACUUUUAAAAGUUCAAGAGAGAGAGGCUAUUGUGUUCGAGAAUACCUUUAAAGUUUAGAGUUGGCUACACUGAGUUUGAUAUCAGAGCCAUACCUAAAAGGAAAAUUUCUCAUCCAAAUUUUCAUUCUUAAAAUUUCUUUCUUUACUUUUUAUGGGUUCAUGGUACCACUUUGAUCCAUAUUCAGGAAAUUAAUAUAAUUAUGUCUUUAAUGAUGUUUGUAGAGAUUCUCCAUAUUUUAUGUUUGAAUAUUAUAAUAAACAAAAAUGUAUAGAUUACAUUAGACUACUUAAGUUAGAAAGUUUUAAUUCACUAGAUUAUUUGCAUCCUAAAUCAUACCAGAUAGUUAGAAGACAGGUAUAUAUAUAUGUUAUGGUAUCGUAUUUAUAAGAUAAAUGGUGAGAAAGAUUUUAAUAAAUUAAAAAUAUGAGUUCUUUUACUUCUAAAAUGAGUUAUUCUACUUCUGGUAAACUUGUAUUAAAUAGAACUAAUAGUAAUAAAUUAGAUUAUUUGUAUGAAGUGUCUGUUGAAUCAGAGAUGGUUAAUCCUACCUCUUUGUCUGUUAUUAAUCUAUAUACUGCAUUUGGCAAACAACAAUUCUCACCUAUCAGGGCUAUCAAAUCCCUGAUCAAACACUAUCCCAAGAGUAUAAAAGAAUAUAUUUAGACUUCAAAAGUGAGUCAACAUUCUAUCCUUGUUACUAAGAAGGAAUAGUUCAUUACUCUCUAAAUUCCUCCAGAAUUUCCUUCUCAACGGAAACAACAAGGAUUUACUCAUAUCCAUUUUGGUGCAAUUAGAUUCUUUUUAUCCUUUCAUGGUAGAAAGGAGCUACCAAUGGUGGCUCGCAUAGCCUUGCUUGAUACCAGAUUCACAAAAUACCAGCAUACUUGUAUAGCAAUCGUAGAAACUACUCUAAAUGUUGGAACUGUUUUUGUGACUCUUUUUCCCAAUUUUAACAUGUCUCUACCAGAUCCCCAUUUGCUUGAUGCUCUUAAAGUCCAGGUACAAAUCAUAGGAGCAGGCCAGAUGACAGAUGCUAUUGCUGCAACCCUCCACUAUCAGAUGGUUUAUCGUGUCCAAAAUCAUAUUCUACAUCUCACAAUUCCUGGUGGAGAAGAUGCUCUUUUUAGCCGUAUUAAUGAGAAGAAUUCAGCCUCUUACACCCUUAUGCCAAGACAAAUUUCAAAAUCAGAAUUAAUUCAAUUGUUACCAGACAAUUGGAUUACUGAUUAUGAGUCCCUGCAUUCUCAAGCAAAUGAACCUAUUGAGUUUUGAAACUCAAAAAUCUCUCAGACACAAGAAGGGAGAAUUUCAAUUACUUUCGAUCAUUCCCAUUUAAAACCAUCAAAAAAAUCUUAUCCUACUAUAAUGCUUGCACAGGUUUCCAUGGAGACACUAACUAAAAAAGAAAUAUCUCUUGAAAGAUAUGAUGAAAACUGAGAAAAAGGUUUUGCUCAAGAUAUUAUUGCUCAUUUUACUAAGGAAAGUGAACCAGUAUAUCAUUUUCAAGAUCCUAUUUCUGGACAUAUUUAUUUUGAUAUAUGUACUAAGUGUGAUGACUUUUGGUGGGAACAUCAUUUUGAUGAUGAUUAUUCAUUACCUUCAAAAGGGAAAAAAAAGACAAAGUCAUGUGAGGAAAGACCCUGUGAACCAAAUCUUGAACCACAGGACCCUGAUAUUGACAACUUCAUGUCAGAAAAAAAUGACUUUGAUGGAUAUCAAAUUCCGUCCUCUUGGAUUCCUAAAAAAUCACAAACUCCCAAGCAGAAACUCCAUCCAUACUAUCAGAAGUGUUUGGCGAUCUUGAAAAAGGAAGUCAAGAAAGAAAAGAAAGUAUGGAAACCAUUUACAAAAUGUGUAUUUUAUCACCUUCAUGCUAGUGGCUAGGCUAGUGAUAUGUCUUAAUCCACUGAGCAACCAAUGAGCUAUGUUGAAUGUCAUAUUGUCUACAUUGGUUCAUAACCUACCAAUUGGGCAGGAGUUUGUACAUUUAUUGGGUCAAAAGUGAUGGGCAUUUUUUAAAUGGAUUAAUGUACUAAACCUCCUUGAGACUUUUGCCUUCAGUUGCACUUUAACUUCCCUAAACUCAUUAAAUAGGUACUUUACUUUCCUGCUUGAUGUUUUAGAAUAAAAGUGCCCUUACUAUAUUAUUUUAAUUUUCUCCUUAUUUAUUCAUCCUUUAUUUUUCUUUUUUGAUAUUUUAUUUUUCUUUUUAUUUUUUCACUUCUCGAAUGUCACUAUUUUUUUUUUUACUUUCCUAUUAGUAUUAUUGAUUGUAUGCUUAUUAUAACAUUUUAGUAUUCUUUUAUUUACAAUUUCGUUCUCGUUUUAAUUUACAUAUGUAUUCACUAAUAGGAAAUUCAUGAUUUUAUACUAUAUAACUAUCAUAGUCAAAAGCAUGGAUAACUAGGGAUAGCAAUUUCUAGCACGACCUGAAAACAGGACACGAAACUAAUAUGAAAUUAAUGGGUUUGGAUUGAGAUUUCGCGAGUUCGGAUCAGAAUCGGGUUGAACUCAAUGAACCCGAAAAGAAAACGGGUCGAAUUCGGAUCAACCCGUAGAUGAUCCAAUAUGACCCGAUAACCCGUUUACAAAUUAAAAAUUAUUUAAUAAACAUAAAAAUUAUUUUAUCUAAUUAAACUAAGUUAUUCUUUUUUUCCAAAGACAUUAAUCACUUAAUCCUAAAUAAAUUUAUUUAACUUGUGUGACAUUGAAAUUAUUAUAUUUAGACAAAUAAUGUAUUAUAUUAUUUUUUACUUUUAUACUAUUUUAAUUUAUUUUAUAUUUAAUUUGGGAUAAAACACUUUUACGGUAUUUUAAUUUAUUUUAAAUUUGAUUUGGGAUUAUUUAUUUAAAAUUUUAUUACUUAGUUAUGUAAUUAGUCUGGUGUGAAAUUGAUUUUAUUAGAAAUUACAGUGAUAAAUUAAUAAAUUAAAAUUAAGUUUCAGAUAGACCCGCCAACCCGAAAUUUUCGGGUUCCGGUCAGAUACCCUGACCUGUUUCGGAAUGACGGGUCAGAUUCGGAUCAACGGAUUUCUAUUAUACCCGGAUCUCAACCCGACCCGCCAACUCAAUUUGGACCCAAUUACCACCCCUAAACCAGCAAUUUAACAAUUUAAACAAAUAUUAGCAAACCAGAAUUUUUGAUUAGUUAAUAUUUAAAAGUAUAUACCAAAUGAACAACGUAACUAACAUUCUUCUUUCUAUUUUUAUUUUGAAUAGUUGAUUAAAUAUUAUGUGACUACCAUUUGCUUCUUUGUUAGUUUUCCUUAAGGAGAAUAUAUUUUUAACAUUUAAGAUAUAGCAUACACAACUCACUAUAGACUAGCUUUUGUAUUUCGGAUUAAAGAAACUAUAAAUUCAUAAGAGAUGGAGAAUGGUCCUAAAAUCUCAUAUUCGACUUCCAAACUCUUUGUUUUCAUUUUUUCUUGUAAGGUGUAGAUUCUCCUCUUAAAAAAAAUAAAUUAAAGAGUUUGAGAGUGAAACUAGACCGAUUAGACCCGUUUAUAUUCAUUUUGUUCGAAAGAUCGGAUAUCUGAUCUCACUUUCGGCCCAGGUGGUGAAAGCGCCAAUUCAGACGGUUUAGGUAAGUGACAGGGGAUGAGUAAUGACUGAUGACCUCGUUUGCGUCUGCUUCUCCUUGUCAAGUCUAGCGAGUCCAUGAGAAGUGGAAAUCUAUGUACAUGGCUGGGUUAAAACCUAAAAGCUAUAAAGGGUCCAUCUGCCCAAAGUUUAUUUAAAGACAAAACAUAAACAAUGGCUGUGAAAUAUCUUCACCUGUAACUGUAAGCAAAAGCCAGGAUUUAGUGAUUCAAGCCUUUUACACUAGAAAGCGAAUUGAGGAAUGUGCCAUGUAUACUAAUCUCUCAGCACUAACAACAUCCUUCUUCCUCACAAACUGGACAGAAUGAUUUACAAAGUAAGCAUGCAUCAGACAAGGAUUUUCCAUUUAAAGACACCAGCAGAUCAUAAUUGAAGAAAUAGAGUUAAAGGGAAAAAAGGUAAAGAAAGAACUUCCAGUGAGAACCAAAGGUACUUCUAAGCUUCUGCAAAUUGCAUUGCCUGGGCAAAAAGAAAAGUGGGUAAGGGAAGUUCAUGGGAGGGGUGAGUUUUGUAAUGUUACUGGGAAAAAAUUGCAAAACUUCCACUGAGCAGGUGAGGUCCUAUGGUCAGUUGGAUGCAACUCGGUCUAUCAAUAUGGUCAUCGAUAGCAACCUUCAAUAAGAUUAAUGUCGAAUUCUCCAUCAUUAGUCUCUCAGUUUACAUGCCUUGGAUUAUUUCAGAAGAGGACACAAUCAAAAGCUGCCACCAUCCCAACAAAGUACCCAGCGAAAGCUCCAUAGCUCACAAAAAUUGGCCAGUCUUACAAACAACUUCAAAUCAUAUCAGUGUCAGGGUACAAAGCAUAACAAACUGAACAACAAGCUGCAAACCAAGGCUGAACGACAUCCAACAUUCAGAAUCUAAUUGCCGAGCUCAAACAUACAUGGUCAACUACAUUUACCAAAACCAUUGCAACUAACCUGUCCUAGGAGAUUAUACUUGGAACAGUAGAUCAACACAUCACU
rnacentral:lncRNA from 1 species